rnacentral:lncRNA from 1 species
CCGUACAAAUAUACCAAAAGACUUAACAAGUUCAGCAUCACUCAUAACCCAUUUCAUGAUCUUCUUUGUUACUACAUCACCCAUUCCAACAAACGCAGAACAUAGCACCAGAGUGCCUCCAAUGCUUAUGAGUGAAACUUUAAGGUGCUCUUUCAAUGUUUUGGGCACAUAAUCCUCAUCACGCCAUUUUAUUUCCUUGGUAUAUUCCCGAACUAAUUCCUUCACCUAUAGAGAAAGAGAGAAACACGUGAAUUCAUUGUGGAUGCUCAUGUAGUUAAUAUAAAUUAUAUAUGCUGCUUAAAUUAUGAUUAUGAGACAACAACCACAAAUACUUCCCUAUAUAUAUAUAUACAUCAGUAGUUUAUUUUAACUACACAUAAGGUGUCUGAUUUAUAAGUAUGUGCCUGUGAUCAACCAUAGUAUAUAUUGUUAUCCACUAAGAUGUCUUGUUAGGCUUAAUAUUAAUUAACUUUAUCAAGGAAGAUAGAAAUAAAAACUUGCCGCUUCUUUUAAGUAGAACACUCGGUAGCUCUUGUCUGGUCCUAACUCAUUCUCAAACGAUGAAAAUGUCUUCAACAAAUACAUGUAGAAAUCCUUCAUGUAUUCUGGGAGUAGAGAGACUGCACUUUCAUCCCACCUGCAGCUUACUAAGUCAGAAUAUAUACAGAUCACCUUUCCCUCACGAGUAUUUUAUAUAUAAUACAUCCAUAACUACAAAAAAAUUAUUUUGGUGUUUUCUUAACAGCAUGUCUACAACACAAAUAUACGUACUUUCACGUUGACAAAAUAAGUGAAUUAGUUACUUGAGUUUUUAUAGAGAGUUUGCAUUCUAGAAAAGAAAAAUAUAGCCGCUCGAGAAGAUUAUACGUACCUUUCGAUUGCUUCUGCAAGUUGCAUACUCUCACAAGAAGUAGCAUGUGAGUCAAGGGUAUCAUCUAGAAUCGUGAUGAAAGCAACUAUCUUUGUAAGUAUAAUUCGAGAAUGAGAAUAUUGAGGAUCAUAGCAUCCCCCACUCAUCCAAAAGUACACCUCUACUAUCCUAUCCCUGACGAAACUCAAGUUUGAUUCGACGCGAAGUUCUUUCCACCAGCUGCAAUGUCGUAGAGAAAUAAAAACCAAUAAUUGGCAUAGAUUUUAAUUAUGCACUUUCGAUUCUGAAAGGAGAAGUAAUAUAUAUAAACUUACGUUGUGCACUCUUUUAGCUCUGAUGAAUAACGAAGUUGUAAAAGGUUGAAGUUUAGUUUCGCAAACUCUAAUAUUGAUUUAUUUUGUUUAGCGUCCUUUUCGUAGAUAGGAAUGUAAUCCUUCAUUUCCAAAGUUCCAACCCUUCGAAAAAGUGGUGUGUCAAGAGCAGAAGACACUUCCUCUGCUAAUGGCGAUUCCAAAUGUUCUAAUCUAUCUUGAAGAACUCUCAUAGUAAAAGAAAUUGCCUCGUCAAGCACUGUCUCUCCAUGAAUCCUCAGGAAUGCUGCAUUGUAUAAGCUUAACAAGCUCCUGGUAUCAGCCUCAACAAAAUUCCCAAGUUGGUCUUUGAAUUUUAGGAAUACAUCUGCAUGCAUAUACAGUUGGAUGAGAUAUAGUGAGCAUUUGGUAACAUAUAUUUUCUCAAAUCUAACACACACACACACACACACACACACACACACACACACAUAUAUAUAUAUAUAUAUAUAUAUAUAUGUAUGUAUAUAUAGCUCAGUUUAUACAGUUGGAUGAGAUAUAUAGUGCGCUUCCCUCGUUCCAAAUUAUAAGUAGUACGUUUGGGCUUUUUAGAUUCAUAACUUUUUUUAUGGAUCUAGUUACAAGUUAUUAUAUAUAGAUACAUAUUAAAAACUAUGUAUCUAGAAAUGUCAAAAUUUCUUAUAAUUAGGGAGUAUAUAUGCUAAUAAGGACUCACCAGAUGAAACAUCGUAGCCACAUUUACGCAGAAGAUAGAAUCGACGUGAAACUAAGUCCAAAUUACCACCAUCAUAAUUGGAUUUGUAAACAACAGUCAACUUUUCAUUUAUCUCAUCCUCGUAGUGGUAGUCCAGAUUUAGUCGCUGCAGGGUGAUAAUAAGGUCCACUAUUUCUGGCACAUCAUGUGAACCUUUAAUCAUGUUUCUCACUUCUUCCUUUAGCACUGCAGCCUUUUCUCUCAUUUGAGCUUCCUGCAGUGAACGCGCAGGCAAAACGUGUUUAUAUUAUAUUUUAUGUAACUUGGCAAGCAUAUUAAUUUGCAUUGUUACUAAUCAUGCAUGUUGAACUAAUAUUACCUGUGCCUCGGUCGGAGCCUCGUAAGAAAGAAAGAAAUCUCCCCACAGAGUUGGAUGGAAGGAGGGAGACAUCUUCUUCAUCUCCUGCUGGCCGAGGCGAGGACCAUCUGCAGUUAGUGUUGGGGCAGCCAUCCUUUUAGCAGAUGUGUGGGAUCGGAUGCUUUUGGUAGUGAGAUAUGGGAUGCAUGAAAGCCUCAUGGGGGUGUGCUAUUUAUGCUUUGUGUUGAUACAGAUACAGACAAAGUCUAUGCUGGCGCCCCCUUAUACUUUUCAACAUGCAAACGGAGAAAGUAUUAGGGCUCUACUACUACUUAGAUCAGCGGUGAUAGAGGGUUACCAACCGGUGGUGACAGUUGAUUAUGUAGUAGUGGAAUGGAUUGUGCAGUAUGUACAUGCAACUUGUGCAGUAUGGUUGCUUAUACCAGGUGUAUUUGGUUCGUUUAGCUUUCCCAAAAAACAGGGCAUCCAUGUGUUGAACACCAUAUCUAGUACUUAGCCAUGAUCGACGGUCUGGCCAUCUGGAUCGGCUAGAUGGUCCGUGCCCCGAACGGUCCACCCUUACAGUAUGAACAGUUCACAAUUAGAUUAACUCAAGAGCUAGUCUUUAUCACACAUGUGCUUAUAUUACCCAGUAUAUAAUUAAUUUUUUUAUUACCCAGCUUAUCCUGCAUGUGCUUAUAAAUUUUUUUCAUAGAUGUAUCAGAUGGUUAAUUAAUGACAAGUGCUUAUAUUACCCAGCGACCAGUCUCCAUGCGUCCUAGGACAGCACAUUUCUGAUAGGACCAGACAUAUUCCAUCAUCAUCGUCUCCUCAGGUCAAGAUUAUUUUAUAUGGGAAAUCGCAAAACCAUGACGAAUGAAAAUUGGCAUCUUUUGCUGAAAAAACUUGGACUUCCUUGCAUGCACGGUCUAUGCCCGCUGGAGCACGUGACAAGAAAACCUAGUACUGCAUGGCACAUGCUGCGAGCACUUGACUGUGUACAAUAGGGUAUGGUUGCUGGUAUUUGUGAGUGAAUUUUACCCUCACAGAUUUGACUACUAUAUGUUGUCGUUUACUAAUCCAUUUCAUUGCAUGCACCUCUUUAAUUACAACAGCAUCAUUUCUAGUCCGCGUUAACAACGGAGAAUACUCGGGGAUUGGUUAUUCCUAAUAAAAAAACAAUUUUCUCUCAUGGUGUCAAAUUUUUUCCACGAACACUACCAGCUUUGCCGAGUGCUUUAGAAAACGUAGUAAAGUUUUAUGAUUUUAUGUGAAAGACGGCUAGGUUUCUAAAGCAUGUUCGCUUGGCUUUAAUCCGUACCAGCUUCUACUGCUUCUACAAUGUUUUUGUCUAUAUGGAUUGCAGCUGCAGCAAUUCAAACAGCCGGCUUUAAUCCGAAACGAACAACAACUUCAUGAAAAACUAUCAAAUUUUUAUCAGAGUCUCUACAUAUGAUAUCAUGACAUGUCGACAAGUUUUAUUAUUUUCUGACUUUAUUUGUGUUUUAUACAAUUUUAAAACAACUAGAUCGCAAGUUGGCGGUCAAGUUUUGUGAGAAUGGUAUUCGAAAAUUCCGGUUGGUUCCUAAAAUAGGCCGUAACUUGUGCUAAAUAAUAUAAAUAUCAUUUUUGUAUUCAGUGUUCCCUAUUUUUUGAGUGACUUACAGUUCAAUUCUGAAUUAUCCGAAAAAAUUCAAUUAAACGAAAUAAAUCUAAUAGUUAUAGCAAACACUUUUAUAAUUAUGCCAAAAUUGAACAUAUAGGUCUAUAUACUAUAGGAACACAACACAAAAAGUUUGGAAAAAAGAAAAAACAAAUAUACUUUGGCAAGUUUCAAGAAAAGACACUCGGCAAAGAAGAUAUUUUGUUAAGUGUUAAGGCCUGACACUUGGCAAAAUUAACGACCGUCAACUAUAGACGGCUAUUAAUGGCCCUUGCCGAGCGCCUUGCAUCGCCGAGAGCUCAACACAUGGCAAAACCUUCUUUACGAGAGUCUAUCUAUGCUGAGUGUUUUUCUCUCGGCAAAAUAGGUCUGUGCUGAGAGUCUUAGUUCGCCGAGCACUGUACAAAGGGUCGAAUUUCGGUAGUGCGAGGAAUCAUAAUAUAUAAGGAGCUGACGUCAUUAUUGUAAAAUAUAUGGACCCAGUUAAUUAAAAACAUCAAUGUAAAUUACUUUGCCAUGUCGGUUUUACUAUCAAAACUAAUAUUAUUGUUAAUUAAAUUUAACAUUAAUGUUGUCCAACAUUUAGUCAUUGGGAUAUACUCCAACCUUUUAUUAAUGCCUAUCGGUUAUUUUAAAUACACUGAAAAUAAGAUCUUUAAGAGAAAGGUAAUUAUUUGCAACUGUAUAUUACCUCAUUGGCUGAACGUUGAGAAAGAUAAUUGUUAUAAUCAUUCCCCCACCUUGGCUGUUGCAUAAAUUUAGUUAUAGAAAACUGUGGCUUUUUAAUUAAACUUUUCCAAAUUUAUUUGAUGGUCUUUUGACCUUCUCUCUUCGGCGUACGUACAUAGACGUAAGUGGACUUAAUUUAUUACAUAGACGUUCAACGCUGUGCUGAAAAAACUUGGACUUCCUCGAACGAAUGGUCUAUGCCCACCGCGGAGCACAUGAGCAGAAAACUUGAGUACUGCAUGGCGCAUGCCCUUGACUGUUGGGUUAGUAUUAUUGGCGACGCCAUCUAAACUGACAAAAAAAACAUUGGAGUGAGUUCAUUCCUUUCCUGGAAACCUCGCCCGUGUGUGUGUAUAUCUAGAAUACACGAGCCCACACAUUUCACAGCACAUGUGAGGAAGUUUUCUACGAUUGCUUGUAUUUGUGAGUAAUUUUUUUACUACAAUGUUAUUGUUGACUAAUCUAUUUCAUGGCAUGCACGGCCUUCAACCAACACAGCUUCAUCUGUAGUCCGACGUCACAGUGGAAAAUACUCACGGAUUUGGUGAUUCCUAGUACACCAAAACGUUUUUCUCUCGUAGUACUAAUUUUCUUCACUGGGAGAUCAUAAUAAGCAGACAAUACUAUUGUAAAAUAUGUGUCCCUAGACAAAAAACCAUCGGUGUAAAUUAUUUUGCACCAGUGCUUUUAACUUAUGAAAACCAAUAUUAUUAAUAGUUGAUACAUAGCAUCAUAUUAAACUAAGUUGAUGCUUUAUAGGAUAAGAGAAAUCAUUCAAUUUUGCAUUUCUGUUGUUCAACAUUUUAUUCAUUUGUUUAUAACCUUUUUCUUAAUGUUAUAGGAUAAUUUUUCCUUCAAAAUUUUCUGCGCCUACGAAGCUUCUUGUUUAGUAGUGCUUCAGUAGCUAGCUUUGGUUGAGCUAUUUUUUAGAAAAAACUCUUUGCCUUGGUCAGAUGGCCAGAAUCCGUGCCACCACGAAGCUGAUCACUCCUACCUCCUCAGAGGCACAACAAGAUGUCAUGCCUAUUUCUACGGCAAUGAGGGCCUCAUCGACAUCAAGAGCUACUGCAGAAUUGCCGAAUGAUAGACCUUCGAAGCUGAGCUAUAUCGAUAUUGGCCGAUCCACUUUGAAGGAGAACGAUUUACAGUCUAUGAGGAGACUUGGCUCUUUCAGUAGCAAGGUGAAUGUACACCUUCCUAGGGAAGAGACAACGCAGAAGCCAAGAAAAGACGAAGUUGUGCUUAUAAGAGUUUUUUCAAGGUGGGACUUCGACUUCGCAUGUAUAAUAUGAUUGCGAAGGUAUUGCAGCGAUACGAAGUGUUUAUGCAUCAAUUGACUCCAAAUGCCAUGGUUCGGCUUAGUGUUUUCAUCUUGGCCAUACGAAGCCAGGGGGCAUACCGACGCUGAUGCGUUUUGCAAGGUUCAUGAUUUUCAUUACCAGACGAAGGCAAGGCAUGAAUCAGGCCUUCACAAUAACUUUGAAUGUUACAACUUCGCUUAUCGCAAACACAACAGCACUAUGCACCAUUUUCGGCGGCCAAGCUUAUUUUCGGCGGCUAGGGCUUGGCCGCCGAAAAUAAGGUGCUAUUUUCGGCGGCUGACGCUAGCCCCCGAAAAUAAGGUUAUUUUCGGCGGCCACUGACACAGCCGCCGAAAAUAGCACCUUAUUUUCGGCGGCCAAGCCCUAGCCGCCGAAAAUUAAGCUUUUAAAACGGUCGACUGAAUCCUUCUUUCUCUGUUUCUUCCUUUUUCUCUGUCUCACGCGACCGACCGCCGCCCGCAGCACCCGCGCCGCCGCUCCCUGGGCCACCCAGCUCCCGCGCCGCAAGCCGCGCGGAGCACCCACGCCGCUGCUCCCCGGCCGCCCCCGCGCCGCCCAGCGCCCCCAGCGUCGCCCGCUCGCCCCCGCCCAGCGCCGGCCGCCCGUGCCGCCCCGAGCCGCCACCGUCGUCCGCCGCUGUUCUAAGCUUCCGUCGACCAGCCGUGGCCAAGCCCUCCUCGUGCAACCACUCCGCCGUCGUCGCCAAGCUCUUCCCCAUCGAAAGGUAUUUUUUGCGUUUUUUAUUCCAUAUUUUCGGCGGUCGUUAUUUAAUUGCCACCGAAAUUAGUAUGUAUUUGUAAUUGUGUUUGUUUGAUUAGUGUGUGUGAUUAUUAGUAUUGUUUAGUUCGAUUUCAUUAAUGUAUUAGUGGUAUAUGUGGUUUAGGGAUUAUGGGUAUAUUGUAUUUAGGCAUUAAUUUCAUAUUAAUAUGUGGUACCAUCGACGCUGAAGUUGUUCAUUCUAUUGGAGGAAAGGCGCAUGGACGAUAUUAACUUGUGAAUUUUUUCAAUAAUAUUGGAACUAUGACCGAAUAGCUAAUUUUCUUAUUUUCAAGAUAUUCUAUGUUUAUCGGUGUGAUCGAUUCGACGGAAUUGCGUUCUCCUGGCGGCUCUUCGUCGCAGGCGGGUUGUGGUAGUAGCAGCCGUAGUCGGAGCUAUGUACUAGCAUGGAGGACGCUAUGAGCGAGCAGCAAGAAAGGUUUCGUGAAGAGCUGCGGCAACAACAAAUAACAUUCCUCCAACAGCAAUUAGAGUACAUGGCUGCUUACAACGCACAGGCGCAACAAGCAAUGAAUGUGAGUGUCUUAUUUAUUCUCAACACGGUCGAUAUUGGUCUUAUAACUAAUAUAUUAUAUUUGCAACGGUUUUGGUUUGCAGAGCAGGCACAACAGCAAUCAUUUGUUUUCCCUCAAUUUUAGUCGCCGAUGCCUCAGUGGGGAUUACAUGCUCCGCCACCUCCACCUCAGGUGCUUCAAUUUAGUUAAGACUUGUCGUUUGUAUUAAUCUUUUAAAUCUUGACUAAACUUGAUUUUGUAGAGAUCCGGGGUCAUCGGCCACAACAUGCCACCACCGGUGAUACCAGCACCAGGAGGAGCUUAUGCAGGGGAGGGAGCUACUACAGGAGAGGUUAGUUUUAAAAACAAUUUGUUUGAAUAGUGGUCAUGUAAACACUGCCGUUAUUAAUUUCUUCUUUUUUCUUUAGAAUCCAAACCCGUUACACGACUUCGUCAACGAGUUUUUUGCUUAUGGAGGUAGUGGUCACAACUCCAACAACCCCGAUAUGUGAUGGUUUGAGUUUUUCGCUUCUGGAGGGAGUUAUUAUGUUGUAAUGAACUAUUUGUGAACUCUGAUGUUGUAUUUGUGAACUUUGAUGUGGUGAACCAUUUGUGAACUUAAUGUUGGUAAACUACAAUGUGGUUGUGAAGAAGUGUGAUACAAUAUGGUCUAAUGUUUCUGUCAUUUUAUUGUGAUUAUAUUGUUGAUAAAAUUGUUGUUUUUUGCAUUUUUUCAAAUUUUUUUCUCUGAAAAUGUUAAUUUUCGGCGGCCAACUGAGGCCGCCAAAAAUAAGCGGCUACUGUUUUCGGCGGUCGUUGUUUUCGGCGGCGCAGCCUGGCCGCCGAAAAUAAUCCCUUAUUUUCGACGGCUAGCUUGUUGGCCGCUGAAAAUAAGUUAUUUUCGGUGGCUGGCACCUAGCCGCCAAAAAUAAAGGCUUAUUUUCGGAUGAUUUUUUUUGGCGGUCAGAAACCACCGAAAAUAAGCCUAAAACUGACGAAAAUAGCUUAUUUUCGGCGGCAAAGGACUUAUUUUCGGCGGCUUCUGGCCGCCGAAAAUGCCUGUGUCUCUUGUAGUGAAAGAUGCAAGUGGUCCAGUUCUGGCCUACCGAACCAAAUGGCAUGGCGACUGGACAAAAUAAUGGUUCUAUACCGAAGUUGACUUGGUAGAAGAUUUUCCUUAGAAGGGCCAUGGGGUCAAUGUGUGAUCCACAUAUUUUAGUAUGAAUUUCUCUUAUCAGCUCUUAACCUUCGUCUCUAGAAAUGCAUUUUAGCAUGGGUGAACAGACUCCUUCCUUGUAUAACUCCCCUUCUAUAAUCUUGUACGACCUUGUCCUUGCCUGCAUUCUUUUGAUGUGCAGUUUGUCAUCGGCUAGAUAAUUUCUCCGAAGAAAGGUUAUUAUUUAUGUCCUCCAAUCUUCGCUGUGUGUAGGGGAUACUUUUAAGAUAGCCCUUUCCAUUAGUUCCACUGAAGGCGCCUUCAAUAUUUCAAAGAAUACAUCGGGGGGAAGAGGGAGCCCCUGGGUGGCAAACGUAGCUAACAUAUCGGCAUGCUCAUUGUCCAGCCUCGGGAUAUUUUUUACUAAGAAUCCUUCGAAGGAAGCUUCAAUUCUUCGGACUAUGUCAAGUUACUUUUCUAAAGUUGAAUUCUUUUCCUUGCUUGAUUUGCCUGCUUGGCAUGUGAUAACUUGAGAAUUUUAUUUCAAGAUUGCCCUUCGAACUUCCAUUGCUUUCAACUCUCUCAACCCCAACAAUAAAGCUUCAUACUCUGCUAUAUUAUUUGUACAUUGUAAUUGUAGCUUGGCAGCGUACGAUGUCUUCACCUUAGAUGGUAUUUGUGAGUGAAUUUUACCCUCACAGAUUUGACUACUAUGUUGUCGUUUUCUAAUCCAUUUCAUUGCAUGCACCUCUUUAAUUACAACAGCAUCAUUUCUAGUCCGCGUUAACAAUGGAGAAUACUCGAGGAUUGGUUAUUCCUAGUAAAAAAACAAUUUUCUCUCAUGGUGUCGAAUUUUUUUCCACGAACACUACCAGCUUUGCCGAGUGUUUUUAGAAAACCUAGUGAAGUUUUAUGAUUUCGUGUGAAAGACGGCUAGGUUUCUAAGCAUGUUCGCUUGGCUUUAAUCCGUACCAACUUCUACUGCUUUUACAAUGUUUUUGUCUGUAUAUGGAUUGCAGCUGCAGCAGUUCAAACAGUCGCUUUAAUCCGAAACGAAUAACAACUUCACGAAACACUAUCAAAUUUUUAUCAGAGUCUCUACAUAUGAUAUCAUGACAUGUCGAUAAGUUUUAUUAUUUUCUGACUUCAUUUGUGUUUUAUACAAUUUUAAAACAACUCGAUCGCAAGUUGGCGAUCAUGUUUUGUGAGAAUGGUAUUCGAAAAUUUAGGUUGGUUCCUGAAAUAGGCCCUAACUUGUGCUAAAUAAUAUGAAUAUCAUUUUUGCAUUUACUGUUUUCUAUUUUUCGAGUAACUUACAGUUCAAUUCUGAAUUAUCCGAAGAAAUUCAAUUAAACGAACUAAAUCUAAUAGUUAUAGAAAACACUUUUAUAAUUGUGCCAAAUUAAACAUAUAGGUCUAUAUACUGUAGGAACACAACACAAAAAGUUUAGGAAAAAGAAAAAACAAAUAUACUUUGGCAAGUUUCAAGGAAAGACACUCGCCAAAAAAGAUAUUUUGUCAAGUGUGAAGGCCUGACACUUGACAAAAUUAACGGCUGUCAACUAUAGACGGCUACUAAUGGCCUUUUGCCGAGCGCCUUGCUUCGCCGAGAGCUUGACACGUGGCAAAGCCUCCUUUGCUGAGAGUCCGUCUAUGCCGAGUGUUUUUCUCUCAACAAAUUAGACAAAUUAGGUCUGCACUGAGAGUCUUAGUUCGCCGAGCACUCGACACAGGGUCGAAUUCCGGUAGUGCGAGGAAUCAUAAUAAGGAGCUAACGUCAUUAUUGUAAAAUAUAUGGACCCAGUUAAUUAAAAACAUCAAUGUAAAUUACUUUGCCAUGUCGGUUUUACUAUCAAAACUAAUAUUAUUGUUAAUUUAAUUUAACAUUAAUGUUGACCAACAUUUAGUCAUCGGGAUAUACUCCAACCUUUUGUUAAUGCCUAUCGGUUAUUUUUAAAUACACUGAAAAUAAUAUCUUUAAGAGAAAGGUAAUUAUUUGCAACUGUAUAUUACCUCAUUGGUUGAACGUUGAGAAAGAUAAUUGUUAUAAUCAUUCCUCCACCUUGGCUGUUGCAACGACAAUUACAUCCUUGGUUUUUGUCGAGGAUGAUAUCCAUUGUCAUUGUCGUUGUUGAUGACGAAAUGGACGUCUUCAUGAGUCCCUGGACAGGAAUCUCAAGUGUCCAGGCUCUCCAAAUAUGUAUAAAACAUCCUUGGUUUUGAUAUUUGUAUAAAACAUUCCAUGGUUAAUUUAAGUUUGCACAAAUUCAGUUAUAGAAAACUGUGGCUUUUUAAUUAAAUUUUUCCAAAUUUAUUUGAUGGUCUUUUGACCUUCUCUCUUCGGCGUACGUACGUGUAACAUAGACGUUCAACGCUGUGCUGAAAAAACUUGGACUUCCUCGAACGAACGGUCUAUGCCCACCGCGGAGCACAUGAGCAGAAAACUUGAGUACUGCAUGGCGCAUGCCCUUGACUGUUGGGUUAGUAUUAUUGGCGACGCCAUCUAAACUGACAAAAAAAAAACAUUGGAGUGAGUUCAUUCCUUUCCUGGAAACCUCGUCGGUGUGUGUAUAUCUAGAAUACACGAGUCCACACAUUUCACAGCACAUGUGAGGAAGUUAGAAACAUGGGCAAGUGCUGACAGGAUCUUUUCUACGAUUGCUUGUAUUUGUGAGUAAUUUUUUUACUACUAUGUUAUUGUUGACUAAUCUAUUUCGUGGCAUGCACGGCCUUCAACCACAACAGCUUCAUCUGUAGUCCGCGGUCACAGUGGAAAAUACUAAGGCCCUGUUCGGCAGCCCAGGAUACAAGCCAGGUCAGUAACAAAGCCAGCCCAAGAUCGAGUGAAUCAUGGGCUGUCACUCAUUCCUGUCACCAGCCUAUUUUCAAAUCCGGAAUCAGUCCGGAAGGUAGGUUACCUGGACUCGUUCCAGACCGAGGAUUGAGGGAUGGGAAUUAAAAUCAGACGGGUUUGUUUUCGGCCCAGGUCAAAACGAACAAUUCUAGGAGACUGGACCAGAUUCUAAACUGGGCUGAUUCGUUCCUGCCAGAAUGAGGUAGGGAAUGGGCUUAUCCAGCCAAAACGAACGAGGCCUAACGGAUUGGUGUUUCCUAGUACGAAAACGAUUUUCUCUCGUAGUACCUAUUUUCUUCACUGGGAGAUCAUAAUAAGCAGUCAAUACUAUUGUAAAAUAUGUGGGCCUAGACAAAAAACCAUCAGUGUAAAUUAUUUUGCACCAGCGCUUUUAACUUAUGAAAACCACUAUUAUUAAUAGUUGAUUCAUAGCAUCAUAUUAAACUAAGUUGAUGCUUUAUAGGAUAAGAGAAAUCAUUCAAUUUUGCAUUUCUGUUGUUCAACAUUUUUUCAUUUGUUUAUAACCUUUUUCUUAAUGUUAUAGGUUAAUUUCUCCUUCAAAAUUUUCUGCCCCUCCGAAGCUUCUUGUUCAGUAGUGCUUCGGUAGCUAGCUUCGGUUGAGUCAUUUUUUAUAAAAAAACAUUUGCCUUGGUCAGAUGGCCAGAAUCCGUACCACCGCGAAUCUGAUCACUCCUACCCCUCAGAGGGACAACAAGAUAUCCUGCCUAUUUCCGAGGCAAUGAGGGCCUCAUCAACAUCAAGAGUUACUUUAGAAUUGCCGAAUGAUAGACCUCCGAAGCCGAGCUAUAUCAAUAUUGGCCGAUCCACUAUGAAGGAGAAUGAUUUACAGUCUAUGAGGAGAAUUGGCUAUUUCAGCAGCAAGGUGAAUGUACGGCUUCCUGGGGAAGAGACAACACCGAAGCCAAGAAAAGACGAAGUUGUUGUUUAUAAGAGUUUUUUUCAAGGAGGGACUUCGACUUCGCAUGUAUAAGAUGAUUGUGAAGGUAUUGCAGCGAUACGAAGUGUUUAUACAUCCAUUGACUCCAAAUGCCAUGGUUCGGCUUAGUGUUUUCAUCUGGGCCGUACGAAGCCAGGGGCAUACCGAUGCUGAUGCGUUUUGCAAGGUUCAUGAUUUUCAUUACCACACAAAGGCAAGGGAUGCAUUAGGCCUUCACAAUAACUUCGAGUGUUACAGCUUCGCUUAUCGCAAAGAUACAAGCGGUCCAGUUCUGGCCUACCGAACCAAAUGGCAUGGCGACUAGACAAAAUAAUGGUUCUAUGCCGAAGUUGACUUGGUAGAACAUUUUCCAUAGAAGGGCCAUGGGGUCAAUGUGUGAUCCACAUAUUUUAGUAUGAAUUUUUCUUAUCAGUUCUUAACCUUCGUCUCUAGAGAUGCAUUUAAGCAUGGGUGAACAAACUCCUUCCUUGUAUAACUCUCCUUUUAUAAUCUUGUACGGCCUUGUCCUUGCAUGCAUUCUUUUGAUGUACAGUUUAUCAUCGGCUAGAUAAUUUCUCCGAAGAAAGGAUAAAAUUUUUGUCCUCCGGUCUUCGCUGUGUGUAGGGGAUACUGUUAAGAUAUCCCUUUCCAUUAGUUCCACUGAAGGUGCCUUCAAUAUUUCAAAGAAUACAUUGGGGGGAAGAGGGAGCCCCUAGGCGGCAGAUGUAGCUAACAUAUCGACAUGCUUAUUGUCCAGCCUCGGGAUAUUUUUUACUGAGAAUCCUUCGAAGGAAGCUUCAAUUCUUCGGACCGUGUCAAGGUACUUUUCUAAAGUUGAAUUCUUUUCCUUGCUUGAUUUGUCUACUGGGCAUGUGAUAACUUGAGAAUUAUAUUUCAAGAUUGCCCUUCAAACACCCAUUGCUUUCAACUCUCUCCACCCCAGCAAUAAAGCUUCAUACUUUGCUAUAUUAUUUGUACAUUGUAAUUGUAGCUUGGCAACGUACGAUGUCUUCACCAUAGAUGGUGACACAAUAAUGGCUGCAACACCAGCCCCGAAGGACCCCCAUGAGCCGUCACAAAAAACUGUCCAUACGACUUCAUAUGAAUGGGUUGCUUCGUCCUGUGGGCCUGAGGUCCAAUCAGUAAUAAAAUCUACUAAUGCUUGAGUCUGAUGGAAGACAUGUGAACAAAAUCGAAGAUGAACUCGUUGAGUUCUACUGCCCACUUUCCAAUUCGGUCUGGAGCUUCUCUGUUUCUUAUAAUAACCUUAAGUGGUUGUGACCACGGUACAAUAAUAUUAUGGGACUAGAAAUACUGUCGAAGCUUUCUUGAAGCCAUCAGGACCGCAUAAAGGACCUUCUCCAUCUCAGUGUAAUUUAUUUUGGAUGGGCUCAAUACUUCGGAAACGAAAUAAACAUUCAUCUGCCUUUUUACACCUUUGGUUACCAUCUCUUGGACCAAGGCAGCAUUUACAUUUGUCUACAAAGCUGACACAUAGAGUAAUAGAGAAGCUCCUGGCGAAGGUGCAGAUAGUGUUGUUAGCUUUAUUAGAUAAUCCUUCAAUUCUUCGAAGGCUUGUUCCUGAGGAGGACCCCAAUGAAAAACCUCUGCUGAUUUCAUAACUUUGAAGAAUGGCGAGCUUCAUUCAGCAGAUCUUGAAAUGAAUCUAUUUAAGGAAGCCAAUGUCCCUGCUAACCUCUAAGCCCCUUUAUUUGAUUUUGGUCCAUUCAAAGUAUUGCUUCAAUUUUGCUUGGAUUUGCUUCUAUACCUUCUUACAAUGAUAUCAUCAACAUAACUUAAGACAUUCCUUUCCUGUUGUGAACUCAGCACUUUGGCCGUCAUUGUACUGAAGCUCCCACCAGCAUUCUUGAGCCCCCUCAGGCAUCCGAAGAUAGCAAUAAGUGCCACUGGGGGUUAUGAAGCUGGUCUUUGGCUCAUCUUCCUUUCUCAUCCAUAUUUGAUGGUAACCUGAGUAACAGUCAAGCAGACUCAUGAGCUCCAAAGUUACAGCUACAUCCACUAGUGAAUAAAUUCUUGGUAAUGCAUGGGAAUUCAUCCUUCGGGCACGCAUUGUUGAGGUAUGUGAAAUCAAUACACAUUCUCCAUUUACCGUUGCAUUUCUUGAUCAUAACGGUAUUGUCCAACCACUCCGGGUAUGCAAGUUCCCUUAUGACUCUAGCACUAAGCAGUCUUUUAACCUCAGCAUUUUCACCUUCGGCCUUGUCUUCGGACAUUUUGCGAAGCUUUUGCUUGCAUGGACUGGCACUUGGAUCCACAUUCAGGACAUGCUCUAUUAUGCUUCUGUCCACUCCACACAUGUCAAUUGCUGACCAGGCAAAGACAUCCUUGUUUUGAAACAAAAACCUUCAGAGAUUAGAUUCUUGUUCUGAAGUUAGCUAUUCACCAAAGAAGACUCUCUGCUCUGCCACAUCAUGAUAGAGAAGCACAGGAUUUGGCUGAUCCACCAAAGAUGCCAUUUCUUUUAUUGUUUUUUCAGAAUCUUGGAUUUGCGCUUCUUGUUGCCUCUUAGCUACCAUAAACUGAUACCACUCCUUGAUUGUUGGGUAUCUUCAUGCAAAGAUAAGCUAAAUGCAGAACUAUUUCGAACACAUUGAGAGUUCCUCUUUCGAUGACGACAUUGUAUGGGAAUUCCAUAUCAAUAACAUCGAACAUGACUUCCUCUAUUCUUGUGUUAUUGACAUAGUCGAAGGUAACGGGCAUGAUCAACUUUCUGAGUGCCAUCACCUGCUGUCCUCUGAAGCCACAAAGAGGCAAAGCUGAAUCUCGAAGCUUAUCUUCGGGCUCUUGCAUUUGCCUGAAAGCUUUGACAAAUAUGAUAUCUACAACACUGCCUGUGUCGACCAAAACAUUAUGUACUGCAAAACCUUUGAUUACACGGGAGGUAACCAUGGCAUCUUUGUGCGGAAAAUCUUUAAGACAAAGAUCAUCCUGAGAGAAGGUAAAGGGAAUCUGGGACAACUUUGUCUUGAUGUAGGGUCCUUGGACACCUACAUGUUGCACCCUUGUUUGGGCUUCUUUCUUCUAUUUCUUUUUGCUAGGUUCAAAGCUCGACCCCUAGUGAUGUGGAGAGUAAGCUUCUCCAUGGAAGUUGGCGAAGCUUGAUGGCUUGCCAUGCUCUUCAUCGUGAUGAAGCUCGUCGUGGUCACGAGAUCACCAGAGGUGGGCGCCAAUGUUGGAUACUUGAUUUCAAUCUCCUGAAGGCGUUGAGAAUCAAGGAAACACAAGUUAGGAAUGGGAACCUUCGUCCUGAAUUUAACACCUCUCUAGAGUGUUAAUGCGAAGGACGAAGGUCUUCGGGUAGAAAUGUAAAUGGAAAUGAUGUGUAAUGGAACAAUACAGUACAAUGGUGUCUGAGAACUUAUUUCCAAUACAAUCAAUUUACACUUGGUUUGUUAUAAUAUGUGGAGAGGAAAAAUGUAAUGUAUACACAAUUCAGAUAGUGGUGUAGUGGUAGAGACCUACAACUUCAAUUUUGGUGAUUUUUUUAUUCGAGGUCAAUUGAAAAUUUUGAGUUUUUAAAUUUAAACAUAGUUUUGCAUGACAAGAUGAUUUAAAUUUUUUUGUAAACUACAAAGUUUCAUAACUUUUCAAAACCUACAACUUUUUAUUUUGGUGGUUUUUCAAUCCGUGGUCGUUUGAAAAAUUCGUUUUUUUAAAUUCAGACGUAGUUCCCAUGGACAAGAUAAUUUAAAAUCAAAAGGUUGCCAACUACAAAAUUUUAUAACUUCUCAAGAUACACAAAGUUCAUUUUGAUUGUUUGAUCAAUUGUUCAUCCCACAUCAAAAUCAUGAAACUUCUAUGGAGGCUGACUAGGUUUGUGCACAUCAUACGUGACAACUUUCACAAAACACUAUCAAAUUUUAUCACAAUCUCUACAUAUGAUAUCAUGACAUCUUAACAAGUUUCAUGAUUUUCUGACUUUGUUUGUGUUUUAUACGAUUUUAAAAUGACUGGUUCACAUGUUCGCGGUCAUGUUUCGUGAACAUGGUGUUCGAAAUUUCAGAUCUGUUCCUGAAUUAGGUAGUAACUUAUGCUCAAUAACAUGAAUAUCAUUUUUCAUUCAUUGUUUUCCAUCAUUUGAGUGACUUACAUUUCAAAUUUGAAUUACCCGAAGAAUUUCAAUUAAAUGUACUAAAUCUAAUAGGUAUAGCAAAUACUUUGAUAAAAACUCCAAAAUUACAUAUGUUGGUCAAGAGAUUGUAGGAACACACCACAAAAAAUUUGGAAGGGAAAAGGAAAAAACAAAUAAACUUUGUCGAGUGCCGUAGGAAGAUACUCGAUAAAAACAUUAUUUGUCGAGUGCCAGAUCUCGGGCACUCAGCAAAGGUGUAUGCACAACCUAACCUACCCGGGCCACUUCUUUGCCGAGUGCCUAUGAUGGGGACACUCAUCAAAGAAUUUGUAAAAAAAUAAAAAAAUCUUUGCCGAGUGCCAGAUCUUGGGCACUCGGCAAAGAGUUUACACAUAACCCUAAAUCGGCCAUUUUUCUCUUCACUUAUGCACGUCGCCGCAUCCCGCUAGUUCAGGCCACCCGAGCGCCGUCGUGCCCGCUCUUUCCACCCCCACUGCCAUGCCACCGUUCCUGCUAACGUGCCCGCGCCCGCUGUGGCCAUCCCUACCGUCGUGCGCCUGGCCCGACCACCCCUCAUCGCCAUAGUGUCCUUGUCCCCACUAUGUUGGCGUCCUCGGUUCCUCAUCCCCAGUUCCUUUUUCCGUGACUCUAGCCAUCCCUGUUCUCCUUCUUCCCUAGCUCCGGCUCCAUCGUCCAUGGCUUCUCGUCCCCGGUACUGGUAUGUGAAAGGGAAAUGUGCCCUUGGGCCAUUUCUAAGUAUUUUGGUGAUUAAGUGCAAACACAGGUGCCAAAAUGUGAAAAUAUGCCCAUGGAUGGACAAGUUGCAAAUCACAAGUAAAGGUAUGUUUCUAAGCCUUAGUACAUUGGUUUUGUGUACUAAUAUUCUUGUCUAAGUGUUAGAAACAGGAAGAAGAAAAGAAGUGGAGAGUGGCUGUGUGCAGCCAAAGGGCUGUUUCGGGCUGGGGCACCGGACUGUCCGGUGUGCACCGGACAGUGUCCGGUGCGCCAGACCAGCGCAGCGCAAACCAGCCGCUCUCGGGUUUUUCUCCGGCGACUUCGGCUAAAAUUCACCGGACUGUCCGGUGUGCACCGGACUGUCCGGUGAGCCAACGGUCGGCCGGGCCAACGGUCGGCCGCGCGAUCGGCGCGCGACACGUGGCCGAGCCAACGGUCGGAAAGAUACACCGGACUGUCCGGUGUGCACCAGACAUGUCCGGUGCGCCAACGGUGCGCAGAUCUGACUCUGACAGCAACGGUCGGAUGCGCUGUUUAAGGAAACAAAUCGGGCACCGGACAGUGUCCGGUGUGCACCGGACUGUCCGGUGCGCCACGAGACAGAAGGCAAAGAUGGCCUUCCAGAUUUGUUCCCAACGGCUCCUAGCUGCCUUGGGGCUAUAAAAGGGACCCCUUGGCGCAUGGAGGAGGACACCAAGCAUUCCUACAACUCUUCUAAGCACCAAGACAUCAAUCUCACGCAUUCGUUUCAUUGUGAUAGCAUAUAGAGCUCUUGUGGAGUUGUGAACUCUUUGUGUUGCGUUGCGAGCUCUUGUUGCGACUUGUGUGCGUGUUGUUGCUCUGAUUUUCGAGUCUUGUGUGCGUUGCUCAUUCCCACCUUACUCCGUAUUUCUUUGUGAACUCAAUUGUAAGGGCGAGAGACUCCAAGUUGUGGAGAUUCCUCGCAAACGGGAAAAGAUCAAAGGAAAGAAAAACACCGUGGUAUUCAAGUUGAUCAUUGGAUCACUUGAGAGGAGUUGAGUGCAACUCUCGUCCGUUGGGACGCCACAACGUGGAGUAGGCAAGUUUUGUACUUGGCCGAACCACGGGAUAACCAUCGUGUCAUCUCUGUGAUUGAAUUCUUGUGGUUAUUGUGUUUUGACUCCUCUCUAGCCACUUGGCCAUAAUUGUGCUAACACUUGACAAGUUUUUGUGGCUUAAGUUUUGAAGUUUUACAGGAUCACCUAUUCACCCCCCCCUCUAGGUGCUCUCAAUUGGUAUCAGAGCCGUUCUCUUCAAAAAGGGACUAACCGCCCGAAGAGAUGGAUCCUAAGGGGAAGGGAAUUGUGAUCAACGACAAGGAGAAAGAGUCCUUCGUCAACGAGCCAAGGGAUGACAAGUCCAAUGACUCGGGCUCGGGCCACAAGCGAAGAGAUGGGAAGAAGAAGAAGACAAGACGCAUCAAGGAGAUCGUCUACUACGACAGCGAUGAGUCCUCUUCUUCCCAAAAGGACGACGACCACGACAAACAAAGGAAACCGGUUAAUUCUAACUUUUCUUUUGACUACUCUCGUAUUCCGCAAAGUUCAAAUUCACAUUUGCUUUCCAUUCCACUCGGCAAGCCCCCACACUUUGAUGGGGAGGACUACGGAUUUUGGAGCCACAAAAUGCGUAGUCACCUAUUCUCUCUCCAUCCUAGCAUAUGGGAGAUUGUAGAUAGUGGAAUGCACUUUAAUAGUUCGGAUAGUCCUAUAUUCAUUAAUGAGCAAAUCCAUAAGAAUGCACAAGCUACUACUGUUCUUCUAGCCUCAUUGUGCAGGGAUGAAUAUAAUAAAGUGAGUGGCUUGGAUAACGCCAAGCAAAUCUGGGAUACCCUCAAGAUCUCUCAUGAGGGAAAUGACGCUACCUUGCUCACCAAAAUGGAGUUGGUGGAGGGCGAGCUUGGACGGUUCGCGAUGAUAAGGGGCGAGGAGCCAACUCAAACAUACAACCGGCUCAAGACCCUUGUCAAUAAGAUAAGGAGCUAUGGAAGCACGCGAUGGACGGACCACGACGUCGUCCGCCUAAUGCUAAGGUCCUUUACUGUUCUUGAUCCUCAUUUGGUGAAUAAUAUUCGUGAGAAUCCCAGGUACACCAAAAUGUCGCCCGAAGAAAUUCUUGGAAAAUUUGUAAGCGGGCGGAUGAUGAUCAAGGAGGCAAGGUACGUCGAUGACGCGUUGAACGGUCCAAUCCACGAGCCUCAACCCAUUGCUCUCAAGGCAUCGAGGAGCAAGGAGGCACUACCAAGCAAGGUGGCGCAAAUUGAGGCGGCCGGGCUUAAUGAUGAAGAAAUGGCUCUCAUCAUUAAGCGAUUCAAGACGGUGCUAAAGGGUCGCAAUGGACAGCCGAGCAAGACUAAGACCAAGGGGAAGCGAUCAUGCUUCAAAUGCGGUAAGCUUGGUCAUUUUAUUGCUAACUGUCCUGAUAAUGAAAGUGACCAGGAAAAGGGAAACAAGAGGGAAAAGAAGAAGCAUUAUAAGAAGGCAAAGGGCGAGGCGCAUCUAGGCAAGGAGUGGGACUCGGAUUGCUCCUCGUCCGACUCCGACAAUGAAGGACUCGCCGCCACCGCCUUCAACAAAUCAACCCUCUUCCCCAACGAGCGUCACACAUGCCUUAUGGCAAGGGAGAAGAAGGUAUGUACUCGCAACUCUACCUAUGCUUCUUCAAGUGAGGACGAAUCUAGUGAUGAGGAUGAAGUAGAUUAUUCAUGUUUGUUCAAGGGCUUAGAUAGAUCUAAGAUAGACAAAAUUAAUGAAUUAAUUGAUGCCUUGAAUGAAAAGAAUAUACUUUUAGAAAAGCAAGAAGAUUUGUUGUAUGAAGAACAUGAUAAGUUUGUAGAGGCUCAAAAAUCUCUUGCAUUAGAAAUUAAGAGGAAUGAAAUGCUUGCUUGUGAAGUGUCAACAUGCCAUGAUUCUAUUUCUAACUUAAAGAGCAUAAACGAUGAUUUAAAUGCUAAACUAGUAGAAGCAAAUAAAUCCAACUCUUGUGUUGAACAUGUUGAAAUUUGCACUAGGUGUAAGGAUGUUGAUAUUAAUGCCUGUAGUGAACACUUAGUUUCCAUUUCAAAAUUGAGUGAUGAAGUGGCUAGUCUUAAUGCUCAACUUAAGACUAGCAAAAGUGAUUUUGAAAAACUAAAAUUUGCUAGGGAUGCCUACACGGUUGGUAGACACCCCUCAAUUAAGGAUGGACUUGGCUUCAAGAGGGAAUCCAAGAACUUAACAAGCCAUAAGGCUCCCAUUCCCGCCAAGGAGAAAGGGAAGGCCCCUAUGGCUACUAGUGCUAAAAGGAACCAUGCAUUUUUGUAUCAUGAUAGAAGACAAACUAGAAAUGUAAGUCAUGAUGCUUUUGAUUCAUAUGUUUAUGAUUCUCAUGCCAUGUUUGCUCCUAGUUCCUCUUAUGUGUAUGAUAGAAAUGUUACUAGGAGAAAUGUUGUUCCUAAAAGAAAUGCUAUUCAUCAUGUGCCUAGAAGGAAUGUUAUUCAUGCUCCUAGGAAAGUAGUGAAUGAACCUUCUACAAUUUAUUGUGCUUUGAAUGCUUCAUUUGCAAUUUGUAGAAAGGAUAGAAAAGUAAUUGCUAGGAAGUUAGGGGCAAAAUGCAAAGGUGAUAAAACUUGCAUUUGGGUCCCUAAGGAAAUUGUGACUAACCUUGUAGGACCCAACAAGAGUUGGGUACCUAAGUCCCAAGCCUAAAUUUGCCUUGCAGGUUUAUGCAUCCGGGGGUUCAAGCUGGAUUAUUGAUAGCGGAUGCACAAACCAUAUGACGGGGGAGAAGAAGAUGUUCACCUCCUACGUCAAGAAUAAGGAUUCCCAAGAUUCAAUCAUAUUCGGUGAUGGGAAUCAAGGCAAGGUAAAAGGGUUAGGUAAAAUUGCAAUUUCUAAUGAGCACUCUAUCUCUAAUGUGUUUUUAGUAGAGUCACUAGGAUAUAAUUUACUAUCUGUUAGUCAAUUGUGCAAUAUGGGAUAUAACUGUCUGUUUACAAAUAUAGAUGUGUCUGUCUUUAGAAGAAGUGAUGGUUCACUAGCUUUUAAGGGUGUAUUAGACGGCAAACUUUAUUUAGUUGAUUUUGCAAAAGAAGAGGCCGGUCUAGAUGCAUGCUUAAUGGCUAAGACUUGCAUGGGCUGGCUGUGGCAUCGCCGCUUAGCACAUGUGGGGAUGAAGAACCUUCACAAGCUUCUAAAGGGAGAACACGUGAUAGGUCUAACCAAUGUUCAAUUCGAAAAAGAUAGACCUUGUGCAGCUUGUCAAGCAGGGAAACAGGUGGGAGGAGCGCAUCACAGCAAGAAUGUGAUGACCACUUCAAGACCCCUGGAGCUGCUGCAUAUGGACCUCUUCGGACCCGUCGCCUAUCUAAGCAUAGGGGGAAGUAAGUAUGGUCUAGUUAUUGUAGAUGAUUUUUCCCGCUUCACUUGGGUGUUCUUUUUGCAGGAUAAGUCUGAAACCCAAGGGACCCUCAAGCGCUUUCUCAGGAGAGCUCAAAAUGAGUUUGAGCUCAAGGUGAAGAAGAUAAGGAGCGACAACGGGUCCGAGUUCAAGAACCUUCAAGUGGAGGAGUUCCUUGAAGAUGAAGGGAUCAAGCACGAGUUCUCCGCUCCCUACACACCACAGCAAAAUGGUGUGGUAGAGAGGAAGAACAUGACGCUCAUCGACAUGGCGAGGACGAUGCUAGGGGAGUUCAAGACCCCCGAGUGCUUUUGGACGGAAGCCGUUAACACUGCUUGCCACGCCAUCAACAGGGUCUACCUUCAUCGCCUCCUCAAGAAGACGUCGUAUGAGCUACUAACCGGUAACAAACCCAAUGUAUCGUACUUUCGUGUAUUUGGGAGUAAAUGCUACAUUCUAGUGAAGAAGGGUAGAAAUUCUAAGUUUGCUCCCAAAGCUGUAGAAGGGUUUUUAUUAGGUUAUGACUCAAAUACAAAGGCGUAUAGAGUCUUCAACAAAUCAUCGGGUUUGGUUGAAGUCUCUAGCGACGUUGUAUUUGAUGAGACUAAUGGCUCUCCAAGAGAGCAAGUUGUUGAUUGUGAUGAUGUAGAUGAAGAAGAUGUUCCGACGGCUGCUAUACGAACCAUGGCGAUUGGAGAAGUGCGGCCACAGGAACAAGAUGAACGAGAUCAAUCAUCUUCCUCAACAAUGGUGCAGCCCCCAACUCAAGUGGAGGCGCUUGAUCAAGGGGGAGCGCAAGAUGAUCAAGUGAUGGAGGAAGAAGCGCAACCGGCACCUCCAACCCAAGUUCGAGCGAUGAUUCAAAGGGAUCAUCCCGUCGACCAAAUUCUGGGUGACAUUAGCAAGGGAGUAACUACUCGAUCUCGAUUAGUUAAUUUUUGUGAGCAUUACUCUUUUGUCUCUUCUAUUGAGCCUUUCAGGGUAGAAGAGGCCUUGCUAGAUCCGGACUGGGUGUUGGCCAUGCAAGAGGAGUUAAACAACUUCAAGCGCAAUGAAGUUUGGACACUGGUGCCUCGUCCGAAGCAAAAUGUUGUGGGAACCAAGUGGGUGUUCCGCAACAAACAGGACGAGCACGGGGUGGUGACGAGGAACAAGGCUCGACUUGUGGCAAAAGGUUAUGCCCAAGUCGCAGGUUUGGAUUUCGAGGAGACCUUUGCUCCUGUGGCUAGGCUAGAGUCAAUUCGAAUCUUGCUAGCAUAUGCCGCUCACCAUUCUUUCAGGUUGUACCAAAUGGAUGUGAAGAGCGCUUUCCUCAACGGGCCAAUCAAGGAGGAGGUGUACGUGGAGCAACCCCCUGGCUUCGAGGAUGAACGGUACCCCGACCAUGUGUGUAAGCUCUCUAAGGCGCUCUAUGGACUUAAGCAAGCCCCAAGAGCAUGGUAUGAAUGCCUUAGAGACUUUUUACUUGCUAAUGCUUUCAAGGUUGGGAAGGCCGAUCCAACUCUUUUUACAAAGACGUGUGAUGGUGAUUUGUUUGUGUGCCAAAUUUAUGUCGAUGACAUAAUAUUUGGUUCUACUAACCAAAAGUCUUGUGAAGAGUUUAGCAGGGUGAUGACGCAGAAAUUCGAGAUGUCGAUGAUGGGCGAGUUGAACUACUUCCUUGGGUUCCAAGUGAAGCAACUCAAGGACGGCACCUUCAUCUCCCAAACGAAGUACACGCAAGAUCUGCUAAAGCGGUUUGGGAUGAAGGACGCCAAGCCCGCAAAGACUCCGAUGGGGACCGACGGACACACCGACCUCAACAAAGGAGGUAAGUCCGUUGAUCAAAAAGCAUACCGGUCAAUGAUAGGUUCUUUGCUUUACUUAUGUGCUAGUAGACCGGAUAUCAUGCUUAGCGUAUGCAUGUGUGCUAGAUUUCAAUCCGAUCCUAAGGAGUGUCACUUAGUGGCGGUGAAGCGAAUUCUUAGAUAUUUAGUUGCUACGCCUUGCUUCGGGCUCUGGUAUCCAAAGGGGUCUACCUUUGACUUAGUUGGAUACUCAGACUCCGACUAUGCUGGAUGUAAGGUCGAUAGGAAGAGUACAUCGGGGACGUGCCAAUUCUUAGGAAGGUCCCUGGUGUCAUGGAACUCUAAGAAACAAACAUCCGUUGCCCUAUCCACCGCUGAGGCCGAGUACGUUGCCGCAGGUCAGUGUUGCGCGCAACUACUUUGGAUGAGGCAAACCCUCCGGGACUUUGGCUACAAUCUGAGCAAAGUCCCACUCCUAUGUGAUAAUGAGAGUGCUAUCCGCAUGGCGGAAAAUCCUGUUGAACACAGCCGCACAAAGCACAUAGACAUCCGGCAUCACUUUUUGAGAGAUCACCAGCAAAAGGGAGAUAUCGAAGUGUUUCAUGUUAGCACCGAGAACCAGCUAGCCGAUAUCUUUACCAAGCCUCUAGAUGAGAAGACCUUUUGCAGGCUGCGUAGUGAGCUAAAUGUCUUAGAUUCGCGGAACUUGGAUUGAAUUGUAGCAUACACGUGUUUAUGCAUUUGAUCAGAUUCAUUCUGCAUUUUGUUGCUUAUUGUGGUGCUCAAGUUGUACCAACACUCCCUGGACCUCACAAGUCCGUUGCAAAGUGAUGCACAUGUUUAGGGGGAGAUGUGUUACAACUUGACCCUUUGAGACUAACCAUUUGCUUGAGUUUGCUUGAUUGAGUCUCGAAGGAGGAUUGAAAGGGAAAAGGUGGACUUGGACCAUGAAAGACUUCCACUGCACUCCGAUGAGAGGGUAACUAAUUCCAAGUUCAUCUCAUGAAAUCUUAUUGCCAUUUGCUCUUAAUUGAAGACUUUGGUGAGGCAAUGGGGUUAAAAGACCAAGAUUAAUCCCGUUUUGGUGCUUGAUGCCAAAGGGGGAGAAAACAAAGGCCAAAGUGAUAAAUGGAUCAGCUACCACUUGAGAUUUUGAAAAUAGUAGAAUAGAGUUUUUGUUUUGUCAAAAGCUUUUAUUGUCUCUAUUGUCAAAAGUUGGCUUCUUGUGGGGAGAAGUGUUGAUUAUGGGAAAUAAGGGGAGUUUUUGAAAUCUUUGAUCAAUCUCCUUUGGAAUGACUCUCUUUAUGCCUCAACAUGUGUGUUUGACUUAGAGAUAGAGAUUUGAAUUUGAUUUGCAAAAACAAACCAAGUGGUGGCAAAGGAUGAUCCAUAUAUGCCAAAAUUGAAUCAAAACCAAUUUGAGUUUUUAUUUGAAGUGAUUUUGCACUUGUUCUAGUUGCUUUAUGUUGUGUUGGCAUAAAUCACCAAAAAGGGGGAGAUUGAAAGGGAAAUGUGCCCUUGGGCCAUUUCUAAGUAUUUUGGUGAUUAAGUGCAAACACAGGUGCCAAAAUGUGAAAAUAUGCCCAUGGAUGGACAAGUUGCAAAUCACAAGUAAAGGUAUGUUUCUAAGCCUUAGUACAUUGGUUUUGUGUACUAAUAUUCUUGUCUAAGUGUUAGAAACAGGAAGAAGAAAAGAAGUGGAGAGUGGCUGUGUGCAGCCAAAGGGCUGUUUCGGGCUGGGGCACCGGACUGUCCGGUGUGCACCGGACAGUGUCCGGUGCGCCAGACCAGCGCAGCGCAAACCAGCCGCUCUCGGGUUUUUCUCCGGCGACUUCGGCUAAAAUUCACCGGACUGUCCGGUGUGCACCGGACUGUCCGGUGAGCCAACGGUCGGCCGGGCCAACGGUCGGCCGCGCGAUCGGCGCGCGACACGUGGCCGAGCCAACGGUCGGAAAGAUACACCGGACUGUCCGGUGUGCACCGGACAUGUCCGGUGCGCCAACGGUGCGCAGAUCUGACUCUGACAGCAACGGUCGGAUGCGCUGUUUAAGGAAACAAAUCGGGCACCGGACAGUGUCCGGUGUGCACCGGACUGUCCGGUGCGCCACGAGACAGAAGGCAAAGAUGGCCUUCCAGAUUUGUUCCCAACGGCUCCUAGCUGCCUUGGGGCUAUAAAAGGGACCCCUUGGCGCAUGGAGGAGGACACCAAGCAUUCCUACAACUCUUCUAAGCACCAAGACAUCAAUCUCACGCAUUCGUUUCAUUGUGAUAGCAUAUAGAGCUCUUGUGGAGUUGUGAACUCUUUGUGUUGCGUUGCGAGCUCUUGUUGCGACUUGUGUGCGUGUUGUUGCUCUGAUUUUCGAGUCUUGUGUGCGUUGCUCAUUCCCACCUUACUCCGUAUUUCUUUGUGAACUCAAUUGUAAGGGCGAGAGACUCCAAGUUGUGGAGAUUCCUCGCAAACGGGAAAAGAUCAAAGGAAAGAAAAACACCGUGGUAUUCAAGUUGAUCAUUGGAUCACUUGAGAGGAGUUGAGUGCAACUCUCGUCCGUUGGGACGCCACAACGUGGAGUAGGCAAGUUUUGUACUUGGCCGAACCACGGGAUAACCAUCGUGUCAUCUCUGUGAUUGAAUUCUUGUGGUUAUUGUGUUUUGACUCCUCUCUAGCCACUUGGCCAUAAUUGUGCUAACACUUGACAAGUUUUUGUGGCUUAAGUUUUGAAGUUUUACAGGAUCACCUAUUCACCCCCCCCUCUAGGUGCUCUCAGUAUGGAGUAUUCUAUCUUUUCUAGGGAUAUGCAUCUCAAAUUGUUGUUGUCAAAAUUGAUGCAUGGACUUGUAGUUAGAACUUCACAUAUAUAAACAUUAUGGUUAGAAUGAAUGUGUAAAUUGUGUCUUGUUGUCAUACUCGAAUUUAAGGGAAAACCCGAGCGCGAAUCAAAUGUGUGCUAGGAUCAAGUCUCACACAUAUGAUGACUCAUGAUACAAAAACGAAUGUCACAUCUGUGGCGGAACCGUCCGAAUUAUUCCAACUUAAGUGCCUCACUUAAAUAGGAAUAAACCGUCAGUCCCUUGGAUCAAGUCCGAUAAGGCCACUAAUAGGAUCAAGUACCACUUACUCACUGGAAGGUGAGGCACAAAUAAAAUACAAUAAAGCAUAAAACCAUAAGUUAAAGAAGUACUUAAUGUUAUUACAUCAUCAUCGGAGUUUUGCAAAAGUAGUAACCAUUGUUCUCAAUGCAGCGGAAAUUGACUAACGGUAAAGAAAAUGGAGGAUGGGGAAGCCUGACCCAUCACUCCACAUGCUCCUCUCCUGCUGAGGUAGGGUCCCACUCAACUAUCCAGCCCGGUGGCAGGAUGGACGGCCAAGUCACUCCAGCAACCAUAUCCUACAGAGAACCUAUAAAAAUUAUGCCACAAGGAAGGCUGGGUAUACUAGUAAUCAGCUAGACUUACCCGGUGUGAGGAGUCUACUCCUCUACCUCUAGACCAUGCAGCUAUUUGGCUGAGGGGGUUUGGUUUGCCAAGAGCACUAGCUAAGUCUAAAAACAAGUUUUAGCUUUUCAAGUUUUAGUAUAAUCCUUUAGGCUAGAUGAGUACUUAGCUAGUCAUACAUGGUAUGAAACAUUAUUGCAAACAACACCCUUUGAAUGUCACCUCCUUUCCACUUAUUACUCAAUGCAGUACAAUGGAUCAAGCAGUCUCAUUAGCUGCAACAAGCAGACGAUUCGAAUCGAGUUUUUUAAACCUUGCAAGGUAAACCUAAACACACGACGUGGUGAGGCACUCCGUCCCCACACACAUCAACCGUCCCCAUCGAUUCCCUGACAACAGAAAGGGGCUCACCGCCUUGGCGUACAAUGCCUCACUGACCCCGACCGCUGUCGUGCAGUGACCGCACUUGUACCCACCAUUACCAGAAUGGGAGACUACGUCUCAGGUCACAUGAGGAGGGCAAUCUGCGGGCAGGUUCACUCAGGUACUAGGCUUAUCGAUUCACCAUAUUUUUUGACAUGUGUUUAGUACGUUCAAACGUUUGACAUAGGUACCACACAUUAAUCCUUAUUCCAAUUUUUCAUCUCGUAGACAAUGCAUCCCCAUGGAUCGUUGUCCACAGACCAUCAUCAUUUCGAUAUAAAAAUGGAUACAACAAAUUCCUGACCUCACGCGAGUGCUAGAAAAAUCACUCGACUUCUACCGAGAUCCUUAAUUAGCAAAGCAGCUACUCGACCUAGCAUACUAGUAUCCAUCUCAAAAGGAAUCCUGAGUUCAUGCAACUAGGGUUUCAGACAACUCCUACACUUAAGUGCACAGUACAAGCCUACAAACAUUAAGUGCAGAAAAAUAGCAUAUAUAUAACGGUUAUGCAUAAAACCGGGGUUUGUCUUCAAAAGCUGGGGCAGGGAGAUCCUUAGUGGCAGGCUCUGGUGCUAGCUCCUGGACUCCCUCCUGAGCAACUCCUUGCUCCAGAAUGAGUACGUACUCUCCGUCAGCGAGGUUACAAUCUAUCGAAUGCAAUGAAUAAGAUACAUGGAUGUUAAUGAUACGCAAAUUUAGUAAACACGAUGUAUGGUGAAACAACACUAAGGCAGUGGGUAAACUAGGGUUUCUUUAUCCUACGAUGCUCUUAGUGUUUUAUACUUACCUGGUCUAGGUUUUGAGUGGAAUUAAGAUUUUGGUCAUCCCCCAAAGUUUUAGUCGGCAUUUAGGGAGGUCUGGUUGUAGGGGUGUGUGUAACAUCCUUUCCUUCCACUAAUUCUCUUUUUCAUUUUCUACUUAUGCUUUUAAGGAGGGUUUGAACUACCCUAGUGACUUAAACUUCUCCAAAAAUUUUGUAAAAAUUAUAGUGGGUUAACAUUGGUCAUUGUAGUCUAGUCUACAAAUUUGAGGUUAAGAAUAAAUAGGAUAAACUCUAGGCAAAAAUAACAAAAAUGAGGGUAGAUGGUCACUUUGUACUACAACUCUCAUUUGUGGGGGGUUCUGCACUAAAAGUUAUUUUUGUUGGCAUCUAUGGGUAAUAACAUGCUUCUGUGCCAAAAAUCAUAGAAGUUGACUUAAUGGUUAUUUAGUUGUAAUUUUCUAAGGUUUAAUGCCAAAAAGACACUUAUAACUAACUUGUCAUUUGAAAAAUAUCAAACAACAGAACUUGUAUUUUCCUAGAUUCUAAUUAGCAUAAUAGUAGUCAUUCCUAAGGUUGGGGUGGUUCCUUCUUAGGAUUAUUUUUCUAUGAUUUUUCUAAGUUCUCAUUGUUUUUAUUAAAUAAAAGGUGGUGCAUUUUCUUUGUACUGGAUUAGGGCUCAACAAAUUUUUCUCAUAAACUUUAUUACCUGACUAAGCUAGCAAAAAUGUGGUUACCUUCUGGUUCUCAUUUUAAAACCCUAUUUUCAUUUUCUUAAGGUUUGGGCCAAUAUAAGUCUUAUUGGAUAACUUUUCCUUAAUCUAGUAUACUGGGGAGCUUAAUAUUUUUAAACAGUGAAUUUGAUAGAUAAGUAUCCCUCCAAUUUUUCUUAGCCCUAGUCUAAAAGUCUAUCUAUUUUUCCUCUGUUUAUUAAGGUUUGGUCAGUAUACUUGUUUAAAUCUAAACUCUAAAAAGCUUUACUAAAACCAUGGUGUUUAUCAUUUUUGCUGGGUAGUUCACAAUAUCUAGGUCCUAGCAAAAUUGGUUUGACAAUUUUUGGUUGAAUAAAACUCAGUGUAUAAAUUUUUAUAGUUCUUUGCUCAUUUAAAAAGAAUAAUUCUUAAAGUUUAAAGGAAAAGGGCUUUGCACCGAGGUCCCUGGGUUGUUUCUUAACUAAACCGUUCAAACCGUGCCCCUGUUUAACUGAGUCACUGACUUCGCGCAUAACCCCCUAGCUUUUCCCUUUCUUAACCCGCGCUCCCUCAUCGCCGGAACAGUAGCCGCAGAGAGGAAAAGUGGUGGCGCGGCUUACUAGCGGUGGGAGAGGUCCGGUGGAGGGUCGAGUGAUGUCUGGGGGCUUCUGGUGGUCACGUCGAGGGGCGAAUCGCCGGUGGUGAUGGCCGGAGUAGGGCUGGCCACGUGCGCAUGCGGUCGGGCUCGUCGGUGACGCGUGCUCCGGCCUGCUCACGGCGGUAGAGUUCAAUCAAACCUCACGGGGAGCUUCACUAGAGGUCAGUGGUGCUGUAGGCGCAAGGAAUUGAAGAGUGGCUCACCGUGCAGCUCGGUGAUGUGGUGCUUGGUCCUAGGGUUCGGGGAGCUUCACUGAGCUCUAGGGAGGCUAGCCGAAGGAUUGGAUGGGGUGGAGGAGGGCUGGAGUGGCCGGUCCACGGUGGUCGGGGUUCGGGCGGCCGCUGGCACGCCGGGCGCAGAGCGAGCUCCGGUGAACUUGCGCUUGGGAGGGGCUUAGAGCGAGCAGGGUGUACGCCCAAGGCCUUGGUUGGCUUUAUAGGCGCGGGCGCGGGCGUGAGCAUGGGGUCGAGCAUCGCGCGGCGUGGCGCACGCGGCGCCGAGCGUCGGGGCGUGCUCUGGCAUUGCCAAGGCGCGUCGAACACGUGGUCGUUUCUUUCUACCUGAGUUCUAGCUCUUGCUGAGCAUCCAAACGUGUGAAUCUUGCCAUAAGACUUUUGUGAGAUCUCUUCUCUGCACCUAGGGCUACCUAGUUCAUGUGAGUUCCAAGGGAAGAUCGGGUCUGGUUUGGGAGAUAUGGUGGCGCCAAGUCAGGGUUGUCGGCACUGUUCAACCCGAGACAAAACUUGUGUCAAACCGUGUCAAACGGUUCUGGUUUGGUUUCAAUUUUUUCAAGGGUGUGCCUUGGGUAAUUUGGCUCCUUUUUGUCAAUUGGAUCAUGUGGAUUUGGCGCCAGCAACUAAUUUAACACAUCUAAUCUUUAGAAGAGGGCUGAUUUUUAACUUAGAGAAAAUUUGGUUGCUCUUGAGUGCUCUUCACUUGGGUGCUUAAUUUGGGGGUUUUGUGGGACCUUUUUGGAAUAACUCCCUUACUCUUUCUUGUAGAUAUAUAAAUGUACUUCAACUUUGGUAAAAGGUUUAAGUCAUGAAUUGGUCAUUUGCAUAGUUUUCCCACUAAUCCAAUGCUUGGGGGUCUAAUGGCUCAAGAGGUGUGUCUAGGGUUUGAGCAUCUUUUUCCAAGGUGAAGAUACAUGAAAAUCUAGGGUAUUCCUUCUAUCCUGGUCAUCACUUAACUAAGCCAUGGUUUCUAAAGUUUUGGUGCCCCUUCUCCCCAAUUAAACACAUGUGAUAAUAGGCCAUAGGUGCAUGUAUUGAGCCAGGGCCUUGGGUAACACCUGGGGUGUUAUAGCCCUCCCCCCUUGAAGGAAUCUUGUCCCGAGAUUUGGGUAGGGAUCCUUUAGAGGGGUGCUAAGAAAAGGGCGUGCUUGCGCGGUGCGGGUUCUUUUGUCAUGGUUCUCUAGUAAACUUCUCUUCGAAUGUCAUCCUCUUUGCAACUUUAGAAGGAAGCCCUUCUAGAUUUAUUCUCACAGCUUACUUAGUUCUUGUUAACUCUAUUUCUCUUAAACUUAGAUUCAAAGGGCAGGUGGGGGGUUUGGAUCCGAGUUACGUACCGAUCUCUUUGGGUAGAAAAUUGGGGUAGUGUGAAUGCAGAAAACCCUCAGUUUCCCAAGUAGCUUCGUCUUCUGAAUGGUGGCUCCACUGGAUCUUAUACAUUUUGAUUGACUUUGCUCGGGUUGAUCUUUCCUUACGGUCCAGUAUCUUGACGGGGUGCUCUUAUAUGACAAGUCUGGUUCUAUCUCCAAUUCAGGUUCUGACAGCACUUCUGUUGGUAAGCGAACACACUUCUUCAGCUAAGAUACAUGGAAUACAUCAUGAAUCACCGACAUAUGAGGUGGUAGCUUCAAUUUGUAGGGGUCCACAAGUCCCCUUGAUCUCAUAGGGCCCAAUAUAGUGAGGAGCUAAUUUGCCCUUGAUCCCAGAUCUUUGAACACCUUUUGUGGGGGAGACCUUGAGGUACACAUGAUCCCCCACUUCGAACUAUAGAGGCUUUCUGCUCUUAUCAUGAUAGCUCUUUUGCCUAGCCUAAGCAGCCUCUAAGUUCUUCUAAAUGACUCGGUCCUUGUCCUCGACUUCAAGCACUAGGUUAGGUCCAAAUACCUCCCUUUCUCCAGCUUGUGACCAAUUUAGCGGUGUUCUACACCUUCUUCCAUACAAUCUUUGCCAUAGUGUAUCUUCAAGCUGGAUUGGUAGCUGUUAUUGUAAGAGAAUUCUGCUAGAGAAAGACAUUUGUCCCAAUCUUUGCCAUAGUGUAUCACGCAUGCUCUCAACAUGUCCUCGAGAAUCUGAUUCACUCUUUCGGUUUGACCAUCAGUUUGAGGAUGAUAUGCUGAGCUUCUAAUCACGGUUGUUCCAAGUGACUUUUGUAGCUGCUCCCAGAAACGUGCUACAAACGGUGCUCCUAUAUCUGACACGAUAGUUACUGGGAUUCCAUGCAAGCGCACUAUUUGGUCAAUAUAGAUUUCCGCGUAUUUUUUUGUCUUGUGGGUGGUAUGCACGGGCAAGAAAUGAGUUGUCUUGGUUAGCCUAUCCACAAUGACCAAAUAGAACCGUGGUGCCGGGAGGUGUUGGGCAAUCCCACAAUAAAGUCCAUGCAAAUGUCCUCCCAUUUCCAAGAUGGUAUGGGGAGAGGUUGUAAGGUACCCGCUACCUUUAAAUGACUAGUUUUGAUUCUUUGGCAAGUGUCGCACUCAGAUAUGUACUUAGCAAUCUCUCUCUUCAUCCUGGUCCACCAAUAUAAGGAUCUGAGGUCAUGAUACAUCUUGUUACUUCUGGGGUGCAUGGAAAAUUUGGAGAGAUGAGCUUCAUCCAAAAAAAUUUUCCUGAGUUCUGGAUUCUUGGGAACUACCAGUCAGUCUUCGAACCAUAAAAUACCCUUGCUGUCCCGACGCAAGAAUUUAUACUUAUCCACCUUUUGAUUGAGCAUUUCCUUAAUGACUUGAACACCCUUGUCACCAAUCUGUGCCAUGAUUAUCUGCUCUUGUAAGGUUGGCUCAAUUGAGAUAUAAUCCAAAGUACCUGGGCAAACCACUUCCAUGUUCAGCUUGUGCAACUCGUCGCACAAAGCGGCAACCUUAGAGUCUAUGGUCAGACAGUUGCACUGGGCCUUUCGACUCAAGGCAUCCGCCACUACAUUUGCCUUGUCAGGAUGGUAAUGUACUUCUAGAUCAUAAUCCUUGAUCAAUUCUAACCAUCUCCUCUGCCGCAUAUUAAGAUCAUCCUGAGUGAAAAUAUACUUGAGACUCUUGUGGUCAGUAUAAAUAUUGCAUUGAGCCCCCAUUAGAUAAUGUCUCCAUAUCUUCAGAGCAUGGACUACCGCUGCUAACUCUAGAUCAUAUGUGGGAUAAUUUUUCUCAUGAGGCCUAAGUGCUCUGGAUGCGUAGGCAAUAACUCGGUUGUCUUGCAUUAGAACACAACCUAGUCCAGUGCCUGAAGCAUCACAAUACACAUCAAAUGAUUUGGUGUUGUCAGGCUGAGCUAGCACGGGUGCUGUUGUCAGAUGUCGCCUCAAGGCGUGAAAGGCAUCUUCACAUUUUUGACUCCAUUCAAAUUUCACUCCUUUCUUCAACAACUCAGUCAUUGGUUUAGCAAUUCUGGAGAAAUCCGGAAUGAAUCGCCGAUAGUAUCCUGCCAAUCCCAGAAAACUCUGAAUCUGCCGAAUGGUGGUAGGAGGCUUCUAAUCCAUCACUUCCUGUACUUUCUCAGGGUCAACUGCUAUCCCGUCCUGCAAAAUGGUAUGACCCAAGAACUUGAUCUCUCUUAGCCAGAAAUCACAUUUGGAGAAUUUGGCAUACAAGCGAUGAUUGUGUAGUCGCUGAAGUAUUGUAUGCAAGUGCUUUGUAUGCUCGUCUUCGCUUCUUGAAUAUACCAGAAUGUCAUCAAUGAAUACCACCACGAAUUUGUCCAAUUCUGGCAUAAACAUUGAAUUCAUCAAAUACAUGAAGUAUGCCGGAGCAUUGGUCAGCCCGAAUGACAUCACCAAGUACUCAUAAAGGCCGUAUCUGGUGGAGAAAGCCGUCUUUGGAAUAUCACUUACCCUGCUCUUGAUUUGGUGAUAGCCAGAGCGAAGGUCUAUUUUGGAAAACACCUUGGCUCCGACCAACUAAUCAAACAAAACAUCAAUGCGGGGAAAGGAUACUUGUUUUUUAUGGUUACCGCAUUGAGAGGGCGGUAAUCAACACAUAGUUUCAAACUCUCAUCCUUCUUCUUUACGAACAAGGCCGGGCAUCCCCAUGGUGAAGGACCCCUUGUCUAGCAACUCUUGCAAUCGUUUCUUCAGUUCUGCCAACUCUGCUGGAGGCAUCCUAUAUGGUCUCUUAGAAAUAGUUGCAGUCCCUGGUUGCAAUUCUAUGGCAAACUCUAUAUCCCAGUCGGGUGGCAUCCCUGGCAAUUCAUCGGGGAAGACAUCAGGGUACUCAUAGACUACUGGAAUCCUUUCCACAGGUGAUUCUACCUUGGUGAGUGCACAAGAAUGGGUACAACCCUGGUUAGGUAGGUACAAAGUGAUUUCUCCACAAAUUGGUGAGUGUAUUUCAAUGGCUCUUGUUGCGACAUCAAUUAAUGCAUGAUGUCGUGAUGACCAGUCAGUCCCCAAGAUGAUGUCCACGCUCUCCAAUCCCAUGAUAAGGAGGGUGGUUCUAAAUAUAAUACUACCCAAUUUUAUUGGCACCUGCCGGUUGAGUUGAUAGGUGGCAACCCUGCCUUCGGGUGUUGCAAUCAUAAUGGCCCCAUUUGUGUGGUGAAAAGGUAGCUGACAUUUGGCACUAAAUUUUGCGCUGAUGAAGCUGUGUGAUGCACCAGAACCAAAAAGAAUGACUGCAAGGUAAUUUAAAAUGGAAAAGAUACCGGUCAUGACGGGUGCUCCCUCCGGAAUGUCAGCUAAUGUGGUGAAGUUCAACCUGCCCUGCCUCACUUGCACCUUCUGCCUCUUGCCUUGGUUCUGAUUUCAAUCCUGACCCUGCCUCUGCUGGUUUCUGGGACAAUUCUUGGCAUAGCGUUCAGUGCUACCACAAGUGAAACACAUGUUGUCAUUGCCCUGGCGGCAUUGCUGUUGUUGCUGGUUGUUACUCCUCAGAGCAGGGGUUGAGAGCGGUUGGGUGCCUGCUGCUGCGGCUGUGGCCAGAUCACCCAUCGCCCCUGCUGCUGCUGAGGUCCUCUGCUCUGAGUGUCGGACACAAUCCUGAAGCGCUGAGGCUGUGCUGAUGGCCCUGCCAUAGGGGUCUUCCUCUUCUUCUCUACCUGUCGAGAUGUGAUGCAAUCCUCCUGAGAGAUGGCCAAGUUGACCAACUUGUUGUAGCCGUGGGCCCUAACUGUGUUGAGGCGGUCGCGGAGCUUAGUGUUGAGGCCCCUCCUGAACCUGUCUCUCUUCUUCUCAUCAGUGUCAGCAUGGUAGCCUGCAUACCGACACAGAUCAUUGAAGGCUUGGGCGUAUUGCAACACGGUAUGACUUCCCUGAGUGAGUGACAGAAACUCAUUGAGCUUGCGGUCCAUGAUGCCCGCUGGUAUAUGAUGCCCUCUGAAUGAUGUCUUGAACUCUUCCCACUUAACCACGUGGUCAGUCGGCUGCAUGGCGAGGUAAUGGUCCCACCAUGUCCUAGCGGGCCCACGAAGCUGCUGGGCGGCGACCUUGGCCGCACCUGAGCACUCUCCAUUAAGAAGGGGAAACUUUGAUUCCACCACCCUGAGCCAGACAUCAGCAUCAAGCGGGUCUUCCGCCCUGGUGAACAAUGGAGGCUGAGUACUGAGGAACUCCUAGUAGGUUGCCGCUACCGGGGCACGCUGGUGGUGAUCACCACCCCCAUAGUGCUGAGGUGGUGGCUGACGCUGAGCGAGCUACCGCAGAAUCUCAUUCUGCUGAGCCAUCAGCUCCGGCAUGGUAGGAGGCUGCGGCGGUGGUGGAGGAAUGCGCUCAUUCUGUCCACGGCGCGCUCUUCCUGCCAUCUGAAAUUUAGAAUGUUCUGUUGUUAUAACUAAAAUAUGUGAUUGCAUACGAUAAAAUAACUUAAACAACGAGGUUUGCAAGGUUCCAAGUUUGCCUCGCCUUUCACAACUGGUACCAACAGGAUAAAAUUUGAUUCAUGAAUUUAAAGAAACUUAAAACCAUUCAUCAUUCAUUUUUCCAAAAGAGUUUGCACGGGUUACAGCAGGCCCAAAAGACUCAAAUUUCUUGCCUAGUACAUCCAAGAUGCAAAAUCUAAGCUAGUUUCGAGGAAAGCUACUGCUGAACACUUCUACCUUAACCCUGAAAUCUAACGAGCAAACGAGGCAACGCUAGACUCGGGGGAAGGUGGUCCUCCUGAGCCAGCAAUGUCCAAGCUAGAUGCGGGCUCCGGCUCCUCCCCUCCCUCCAUAUCUAUGUCCUCAUCGGCCCCUUCUGCCUCCAUGUCCUCGAUCUCUUGAUGGUGCAGGUCUAAGUGCUGGUUGGCUUCCUUGAGCUGCUGUUGGGUGUUCUGGAGCUGGUCUUCUAGAACCUCAAUAGUGUUCUCCCUGGCUUCCACCUGAUCCUCGAGCUCUUGUAUGUGGUUGGCCAUCUGUUCCACCUGGAGAUACUUCUCCACCAGCUCAGUGGACAAAUCUACAACAAGAUCCUCCCUAUUAUCAAGGGUGAUCUUGAUAGACUCCACCAGGCCCAUAAGCUGGGACAUCGCCUCACCUCGUAAGGCCUGCAGACGAUACAGGGCACUCAUGCACCGAACCGUCAGAUGAGAGGUGUGUUCGGGGUAGAGAGCCCACACAUCCUUGGCGUGCUCAACCCUGUCCUUCCACAUCGGGUCAUCCUCCUUCUUAGCGGGGAACAAGCCAAUGGGGUGGGUCGACAUCUCCAAGGGGUGAAAUCCAUAGAAGGUUGUCAGUACGUGUAGAGCCGUGGCCUCUAUAGUGUCAUCGGCCUUGAAACCGAAAGACUCCGAGUCCAGAGAACGCCAGCCUGGCUAUAGGGGAUGAGGCUCCAAAGUCAUCCUCACCCUACAACGAGGUACCCGGUGCUCCUCGAACAACUCCACCUCGUACUGGGGAGGCAUGGUAUAAACUGCUCCCUGCAGUACCUCCCACAAGAUGAGGGGAAAACCCUCUCAUGCGAGACUGUCUAUGUGGGAAGUCAUCUGUGCAAGGGCAAGUGUAAGCGAAAAAGAAAGAAAACCAAAAAUAGAUGGUGCUAGUGUAAAUAAAAAAAUAUGUUUUUGAGGGCCUGGCCUCCCUAGGGUUAAGUGGAGAUCUUCGAGAUAGGUUUAAAAUUUUAUUACGGUGACUCUUUAUUUAUGUAGCUUGUAAAUAAUAAUGACAAGUUACUAAGAGGGUAGAAAAUGAUGCAUGCAUGCUCGCCCUAAGCGUCCUCACAUCAAGUAUAGGGAUAUAGAAAUCCCUCAUCUAUAAUAUAGCAGCUUAUACGACACACUCAAAUAGCCACCUAGCUACCCAUCUAGUAUCCUAAGGCUUCACAUCCUAGGUCUAUCCUUACCGUCCUGACAGCUAUCCAACUUGGUUUCUAAGCAAAUUUUACUUCUGAAAAGGUUGGUAAUUAUGAUUUAUUGAUUUCUCCAAGGUGGUACAAGCUCUGAUACCAGCUGUGGCGGAACCAUCCGGAUUAUUCCAACUUAAGUGCCUAAGUCCUGCCUUAAAGGCUAGACCACACUUAAAUAGGAAUAAACCGUCAGUCCCUCGGAUCAAUUCCGACAAGGCCACUAACAGGAUCAAGUACCACUUACUCACUUGAAGGUGAGAUACAGAGAAAAUACAAUAAAGCAUAAAACCAUAAGUUAAAGAAGUACUUAAUGUUAUUACAUCAUCAUCGGAGUUUUGCAAAAGUAGUAACUAUUGUUCUCAAUGCAGCGGAAAUUAACUAACGGUAAAAAAAAUGGAGGAUGGGGAAGCUUGGCCCAUCACUCCUCAUGCUCCUCUCCUGCUGAGGUAGGGUCCCACUCAACUGUCCAGCCUGGUGGCAGGAUGGACGACCAAGUCACUCUAGCAACCAUAUCGUCCAGAGAACCUGUAAAAAUUAUGCCACAAGUAAGGCUGAGUAUACUAAUACUCAGCUAGACUUACCCGGUGUCAGGAGUCUACUCCUCUACCUCUAGACCAUGCAACUGUUUGGCUGAGGGGGUUUGGUUUGCCAAGAGCACUAGCUGAGUCUAAAAACAAGUUUUAGCUUUUCAAGUUUUAGUACCUUUAGGCUAGAUGAGUACCUAGCUAGUCAUACAUGGUAUCAAACAUUAUUGCAAACAACACCCUUUGAAUGUCACCUCCUUUCCACUUAUUACUCGAUGCAGUACUAUGGAUCAAGCAGUCUCAUUAGCUACAAGAAGUAGACGAUUCGAAUCGAGUUUUUUAAACCUUGCAAGGUAAACCUAAACACACGACGUGGCGAGGCACUCCGUCCCCACACACAUCAACCGUCCCCUUCGAUUCCCUGGCAACAGAAAGGGGCUCACCGCCUUGGCGUACAAUGCCUCACUGACCCCAUGAAGCAUCCCGAUCCUUUGGGACUCAAAUGUGAUACAAUUACUAGUCCUAGGAGGCUAGUAACCACAUUCCUUACUUCAAAUAGUACAGAGUCUGAGUAAAUGUUAUUACAAUACCGGGGGUACAAGCUCGAGAGUGAGCCAGAAUUAUAAAACGCAGUGGAAUAUAAUUUAGCCCAAGCCACAGGCAGAACUGGGUGAAGACACAGCCCCUUCAAUCAAGCAUAGCAGAAAAGAAGUCUUCAGCUGCUGAAAAACAUAAAUAAAUCUGGGUGAAUACACUAGGUAUUCCACAAGCCCACCCGGUUCCCAUAAAGAGAAAGAGACCUAUAUCAUACAUGCUUCAUAUGGUGGAGUUGAAGUCACUCUUCUUUUUCUCAGAGAAAGGCAGUACUUGUUGUUAGGGUUUUCCCGAAACAAUAGAAAUGACACUUGCUUAACUACCACUGAGCUUCCUGCUCCUGUGGCACCAUUUUCCUUUCUAGAGACACACUUACACACACACAUAUUUCCCUGUUCCUGGUUGUUAUAGAAACACUAAUUGUCAUACCACACCAGACUCGUCCAUACCAGUGGACACGGACUAUUCGAAUUGUUUUAAACUCUGCGUAGAGGGGUACACUUUACCCACUAGUCCGGCUCUGCGAUCUCACGGCCAAUGAGAUCUGAAUCCGAAUCUCUUUCCUUCCUCACAUGUCCUAACCUUAAUGGUUAUACCGGAAGGAGUCAGGCCACCGCCAUGUCCAAACCGGACAAAACAUUCCCCCUCCUUAUCCUCCCGGUGCUCCCCAGCCUUCAUAACCCUGGGGUUGGACCGUACGAGUUUAGAUCAAGUGACUGCCCACAUAGCCUCGAGUGGUUGUACUUUUCAUGAGUACAUGUAGUGAAGGAUGACAAACCGGUCCUUAUACGAGAGGACAAUCCUUCUGCUCACGCCUAAACCAGCUGAGCCAUCACCUUAGGCCCUCCCCUAAACCAGGGAGUCCCUGAUCAUCCUACCCAGGAGGUGAUGAGGGUGAAUACCCUUCAUCGCACACUUUUUGGAAAACAUCGUUAUUCAUACCCCUUUUCUUAUCCCAUAUCUUGUGAUCAAAAGGUAUUAGUUAAUGCGGGCUCUCUCAUGCUCACCAUGCAAAUAGAUUCCAUCCCUUAAUCCCGGCUUAGGUAGUGGUAGAGAGAAAUAGGUAAAUUAUGCAUCAAGGGAAGGAUGGACUUGCCUUCGUCGAAGCUUUCCAGGCACAAAAGAUUUAUCUCAGAGGGGUCGGGUUCCUGCCCUUCUUCUAGAGCUACAAAUUCCGGAGGAUCGGAUCCAUCUUCCGCUAACAAACACAUAUAAGAACAAUACAUCAAUCAUGGUGACUUUAGUGGGGUGUGCCAUUUCUUAUAUCUUACUAUUUUUGUGCCCUAUAAUUUAUUUAAACUAUUUUUGGUGCAUAAAAUAUUAGCAUAUAAUUCUAUAUGUGAAAAUGGGAAAAAGAAAUGAGAAAAGAAAAAGAAAAGGGUUUUCUUGCUUGCUGGGCCGGGGGGAGAUUUUGGCCCACCUGGGCGCGAGCGCGCGCGCGGGCGCGGCAGGCGGCCCAGCCGGCCCAUCAGCUAGGGAGACGGAGGGGGACGGCGCCGUGGCGCGGGCCCACACGUCAGCGAGGGAAGGGGGUUUAACGGCGUGGAGCAGCGACGGAGGGGGGGGUCGACCAGAGCUCGACCGCCGGUGAGAUCCCGCAGCGGUUCUCCGCCGUGGGUCCGGUUCUGUGGCGGGGGAGCGGUGGCGAGGCACGGGCGGGGGUAGGGGAUCACGGGGGUGGGGUCAAUUUGACCGGCGGGGUCCUAGGGUGGCCGGUCCACGGCGCGAUGGCGGGUGCUCGCGGCGGUGAGGUCACCGGCGAGGCAGCCGAGCGCAAUAGGAGGCGGGGAUGGGUGUGUUGCGAUCGUGAGUGAGUGGCGGAGUUCAAGCCCCAAGUUAAUUCGACCGAAGGCUACUAGAGAGGGGAGAACAAAGCUCACCGAAGUGAAAGGGGGAACGCAGCGGCGCUAGCUCGAUUGGGCUCAAAGAGGAGUGGAGGAGAUGGCCGGGGCUGGUGUGGAGGAAACGGAGCUCGGGCGGCUCCUUUUAUAGGCGCCCGAGAGGGGGAAGGAAGGGAGGGGACGGCGAGCGCCGACGAGCUUGCCAUGAUGGCGGGGAUGGAGCAAACGGCGACGAGACGGCUCGGGCAGGCGAGGGGUGAAGGGACGGCUCGGGUAUAGUGGCGGGGUGGUCGCUAAGGUCGGUGCGAGCGUUAAUGGCGAAGCGACGGGGCGUGAGGCGGUCGGCGGCGAACGCGCCGGUGAUGGCAUGGGCGGGACGAUGGUCCUGACAGGCGGGCCCGGGCUACCAGUGGGAGAGCGGCGCGAGAGGGAGAGAGGUGGAGCCGCUGACCGGUGGGGCCGGUUUGUCAGGUGCGGCGCGGGCGCGCGCACCUGGGCUGCUUGGGUCGUGGGAGGAGAGGGGGGGGGAAAGAGUGGGCGCGGCGCGGUUUGGGCCAAAAUUGGCCCAACCGAGGGGGGGGGAAGGGAUUUUCUUUUUUGUCUUUUUUUGUUUUCUAUUUCCUUUUUCCAUUUUCUAUUUUUGUUUCUUUUUAUUUCCUUUUCUUUUGAAUCAACAAUUUGCUAAAAAAAUCUUGUGUGUUGAAAAUAGUCUAUGUGAGGUGCUCCUAACAUUUCAAGUGUAUGCACAUGAUGAGAUGACCUAAGGGUGGAGUUUAGGGAGAAAAUAAAAUAAAAGGGGGGGUUAGGAGAUUAGGGUUCCAAACCUUGGGUUGAGAUUUUUGGGAUGUUACAAACCUACCCCACUUAAACGAGUCUCGCCCUCGAGAUUUAGACUGGAUCUGAGAAAAGAUACGGGUAUUCCUGUUGGGAACUUGUUCUCAAAUGCUUCGAAUUAAGAACAAGGCAACAUGAAAAGUGUUAAAUGUUAAAGUCCUUCGUCCUUCAAAACAUUAUGUCCCUUCGGAUAUAAUGAAUUUCGGACGAAGGUUAUGAAGGAAAGACCCUUCGUAAGCUCGAUAGAUGAUAAAAAAGAAUUCAUACAUGAAAUACGAAUAAUAAUACAAAUAUUAUCAUCAACUUAUUUUUAUUUGCAAUAUCAUAUUUGUAAUAACAAAUUAUAAAUGUACCUUCGAAUUGACGGAAAGCAAAGGUACAGGCGUGAUGCAAAAAGCGAAUGCCAAGUCAGCGUGAACAGUACGGGAGUACUGUUCAUCUAUUUAUAGGCGCGGGACGCAGCCCGUGUAGAAUUACAUUAAUGCCCUUUACAUUUAUCAAUAAAUCUAUAAUAAUUCUUCGAGGUCUAAUUUGGCUUUUCAUCCUUAAGUCGGUUCCUCUUUUCUGCCGUCAUGUCGAAGCUUUUCUGCGCAUAGCUUCGUGAUCAUCUUAUCCUUCGUCAUGAUCGCCUUUCGUCCCACUCAAGCUUCGUCUAGGCCAGACACUUGUAUACCCGUAACCUGAUUCCGAAGAUACCUGUUCACAUAUUUCACUUGGAAAACAUUGUCAAAUCAUGUUUUUGAGGACCUUCGGAAACCGAAGGCCCCCAACAGUAGCCCCUCGCAAUAUUAAUUUGCUGGAAUGAUAAAUUCAUAUUGCGACAUGGACGAAGGCUUUAAGCCGAAGGUCCGAAAAAACACUUUCCCUUUGCUAGAAUAGCAACAGUCUUUGACAAGCGGGACCCUCCAGUUUUCAACGCACUAGGUGUAUAAAUAAGAGCUCACCACGAUUUUAUUUGGCACGCUCUCUUGCCAUAUGCUCUUGCUCACCCGACUUUUAGCCUAUGCGCAACAACACUUGCUUGGCUUUUUAAACUUUCAAGCUUCGGUUCUGGGAGCACUUUCUCAGCGUUUGCGAAGAUGUCUGAAGAUAAGAAAGCUGUUGCUGAAUCAAAGCUGAGCCUUUCUGAGGAGAUGCAUCUCGGCUUUCUUCAGUCAAUAGCAAAGACCAAUACAGAGAAGAUCACUAGGGAGACCUUGGAGGGCUUAUCUCAAGACACUGGUGAUAGUGAUAGCUAUGAUGUAGAAAGUGGGGGUGAAGACUCCGAAGAUCGACCGUGGCGACCAAGUCACACAGUCUUCGGGAAAUCGAGCAUUAAACAGAGUCAUCUUGAUACCAUGAGGGGAAGGUAUUUUCGAGACAUGUCUAUUUUGAGGGCAGAUGACGGGGAGAAGACUGUGCCUACUCCCGAAGAGAAUGAAGUCGUAAUCUUCCGAAGCUUCUUGAAGGUUGGACUGCGAUUUCCCUUGAGCAGUUUUGUCGUGGAAGUACUGAAGAUGUUUGAAGUCUACCUUCAUCAACUUACUCCCGAAUCAAUCAUAAGAAUGGGCAUUUUCGUCUGGGCCGUGAGGAGCCAAGGUUUAGAACCAAAUGCAAAAAGUUUCUGCAACAUACAUGAGCUAUUGUAUGAGACAAAACCCUGGGGUAAAGAGCAGUAUCACAACAAUUUUGGCUGCUACAGCUUCGGGGCCCGGUCUGGGUCAAGCUGCCCCGUGCCAACCUUUCGAAAAAGAUGGCCCGACAACUGGAUGACGGAAUGGUUUUAUGUGAAGAAUGAUUUAAAAACUCGGGAAGAUAUUAAAGGUAUCAUUAUGCGCCCUAUCUGGCAACGCUUCGGCCUCUGGAGGCCGAAGGUGGAGAUGGAUGAAGCAGCCGAAGAAUGCCAGAGAGCCUUCGGCGCAGUGUGCUCUUUUAUUGGGACAAGGGAUUUAAUGCAGGAGCACAUUGCCUUCAGAGUAUGGCCACUUGCAGAUAACUGGGAAAUGCCGAAGGAAACCGUCAAGGAACCUAACGAAGGUGGACUAGUUAGGCUAAAAUACACAUUCAAAUACGGAGAUAAGUUCGUUGAGCCAGAUGAUGACUGGUUGAAAAGUAUUGAGACCAUAAGCGAUGAAUUGCUUGGAUUAUACUCGAAAGCCGAAAACACUGCACUAUCAGCAGCCUUCGAAGGCCGAAAGAAGAAGAGACUCAACCGAGUAUUUGAUGAAAUUGGGUUUGUGUACCCCGACUACCGUUAUCCAACGCGGGGUCAAAAGAGAAAGAACACAUCCUCUGCAAAGGAAACUUCUUCAGCCGCUCCUAGCGAGCCGGCGCCAAAGAGGAAAAGGGUAAAGGUUCUCACACACCAGCCACGUUAUAUUGAACCGGCCACAGUGCCUGAGUUUGUCGGUGAGACCUCUUUGGCCACCGAAGCUAAAGAGCCAACUCCCCUGCCAAAUAUUGAAGGGCUGGCCGAAGUGCCAGCGGUGGAAAAAAUAGAAGAACCGAGGGCUGAAGAAACAAAGACAUCAGAAGUUUUAAGUCCUUCAGCAAAAAUUGAGGCAGCAAAAAGCCAAAAGGGUCCAGCAGUGACCCCCAAAAGAAAAAGGAUGGUUAAUGUGCUGGAUGUCUUGGAGACAAUUAAAUCUUCAAGCACGACUCCAAAGAAAAUUGUUGAAACUUCCGAAGUGCACACUGAAGCCUUUGUCGCCGAAGCUUCAAAGCAACAAUCUGAAACUAAAGCUGGGCCUUCAGAGCCCGCCAAGGUGAAAUCCUUGGAAGGCGAAGAAACAGAAAUAGCAGAACAAAUUUUGGCUGAAGAAACUGGCACUGCUACCCUCGAAGCAUCUUCCGAAGUACUUGAUUAUAUUGUACGACAUGCUUCGGGAAAAAGAUUAUCUGAAGAAGAGAUUUUUGAAGCUAAUCACUAUGCCUGAGAACUGAAGUAUCCAAAGGGAGCCUUAGUAUUCAAUGGCACAGACGAAGAUGACUUCUUAUACUGCCUCCUAGACAACAAAGAAUUAUCUGUCUGCCGGGAGAUGGCUAGAAGUAUGGGGUUUCCGAAGCCUGAAGCUGGCCUCUGCGCUAUGACGAAGGAUGAUCUUGCGGAUAGCCUUGCAUAUAAUAGUCUGAAGGUAUGAAAAUUGUAUAUUUGGAAGUUUAUAAAUUUUGAAUUAUUCUUUUAUUCUUAUACUAAUUCUUUUAAUAUAGGGUUUAAUACUUAGCAACGCUUUGAGAGCGCAAAAGAAUGCCGAAGACGAGAGCUAUAACAUUGCUUUCAACAACCUACGAACAGAGGUUAUUAAGCUGAGGAACGAAGCUUUGGAAAAAGAUAAAAUUCUGCUUACAUUGGUGGAUAAAAUAAAGGAAGACGAAGCUACUUCUAAAGCUCAAGCUGAGGAUCAGAAACGUGAAAUUGAGGAUCUUCGGAAACAGCUAGCUAGAGCUAAAGAAGAACGCAUACUUGAAGAGAUGAAACGAGAACUUAGUGAUCAGUGGGCCUAUCAUUUAGAAAGAAACGUUGAAGAGCUUCGUGCAUCCGAGAAAAGGUGCUAUAACAAAUCUAUAGAAUGCGCUAAGAAAAUAAAAACCAGCUUCGCCAGCGUUGGCGCAUUCUCGAGCGAGGAAAACUUCACAAGGGGUGACCCUGAAGGCCCAAUUGAAUGGAUCAGCCACGAAGCUGAAGCCUUUGAAGAAAUCUUGAAUAGCCGCGGGGACAUAUGUGCCUUUUCGGGUGCCAGGGGGAUUGCUACUAUUUUAGAGAGGAAAGGCUAUGAGCAUGUGAAAUUCUUGGCACAAACCGAAGUUGCCUUAUCUUCCGAAGAUAUAAAAGACCCCUUGGCCGAAGCAAGCCUGGUCGGUGGAAAAUUUUUCAUCGACAUCUGGGACAAUGGUGGCCGGGAAAUGGCCCAAAGGCAUUCAUGAUGCUAGAAAAAUAGCAGAGGCCGCUGAGAAAAGCGCAGAGCCCGAAGGGCAAAUAGGUACUGACUAGUGGUUUUUGACUCUUUGUUUGUAAUAUUCAUGGUUUGUAAUAGUAAUAUAGUCGUAUCUUCUCCUCCCUCAGAACCUGUCGAGCCAUCUGCGGCCCCCCACACGAAGGGGGACGACGAAAUUAGGAAAAUGGCCAAAGCUAUCACGGAUAAAGUUGUUGAUCAACUACUAAACGAAGCUGCAGAGAUAGUUCUAAGGGAAGAUUAGUUGUUAUUGUAAAAAACAUUUAGAAUGUAACAUUUGAUGUAUGUAAUAUUUUGUAACUUUGAAUGUAAUAUAUUAGCUGUUUAUAAUAUUAUCCUUUACGAUGCAUGAAACAUCAUAUACAUAUCGUUUUUGAGCCUUCGGCGAAAAAACACCUUCCCUUCUUUUCAUGCUUCGUAAAUAAUAUCCGCGUUCUCAUAAAAUCAGCAACCAAUCCUCGUAAAAUCAAUAAUCAAUAGAUCUUUCCAUUUCAGAGUUUGACGAAGGUAUAACUCUUCAAUAGCUAUUUUUUGUGCCUUGUCGCUAUUUCUUUCAAAACAAUCUUCGACUAUCAAUAUCAAGACCCCCAUCUUGUGUUGUUGAUGCAAUAUGAUGUAUGAUGUUAUGCUAUGCAAAUGAUGUAAUGAUGUGAUGUUAUGCAAAAUGAUAUUUGCCGAAUAUUUUUUCACCACAAGCCUCCCUUAGGAGCUUCUUCGCCUUUUACUUCAGCGGAAUCAGCGUUUAUUUUUCGCUGUAAGCCUCCCUUAGGAGCUUCUUCGCCUUUUACUUUCAGCGGAAUCAGCGCUUAUUUUUCGCUGUAAGCCUCCCUUAGGAGCUUCUUCGCCUUUUACUUUCAGCGAAAUCAACGCUUAUUUUUCGCUGUAAGCUCUACAUUCCCUUCGGAACGACUUUUGAGCAGAAAACUUACACUGCGCUCCCUUAGGAACGACUUUUUGCUGCUUCGAAGAAUUUGCAGUGCAUUCCUUAGAACAAAUUUUUGGUAAUUCGAAGGUCCUCCUUGCCACCAUAAAUUCUUAUGCUUCGGCAACUUAAGCCUAUGGAGAAGAUAUAUUUUCAUUAUGGUAAAAAGCGAAACUGUUACAAGAGAUUAAAAAACGAUAAAAAGCACUAAAACUUCCCAUAAUUAUUCCUUAUUAAAAAGAAAGUAAUACUGAAUGCGAAAAUGCGAAAAGCUGCUGUCGAGGUAGGAUAUUUGUCAGUAUAUAUGCUUCGACUCUAGCACAAUGCUAUUGACUGUGCGAGCUUCGGACUCCUCUCUGAAGUCCCGCUGGAGGUGAGUGUGCUGACUCCCUUCUGGCUGCUGACCUCGUUGCAUUGGUGGUGGUGGUGGAGGCUGUUGCCAAGAUGCUUGGGGUUGGCUUGCCGAAGCAACAGAAGCUGUAGGGUGAUUGCCUACAUAUUCUGGAAUGUAAGGCGAAUGGUACGAAGCAGUAUGCAUGACUUGCUUCGGCUGACUCUGUUGCGCUGCAGCUUCUGCUAUCUCCUUUUGCUUCUGGAUGGUAACAUGGCACAUCCUGGUGGUAUGGCCCUUGUCUUCACUACAGAAUAGGCAGUAAUUUUUUUCUUGGCUGAUCCCCAAAUCUUCCCCCGAAGCCCCUGGCGCCUCUGCCCCUUGGCGCUGGCGGCCGGAAAGAGCUUUGCUGCUGCCCCGAAUCUUGCGAGGAGUACUGUGGCCUUUGUUGUUGACUCCCUCUAUCAUCACUUUGAGUAGAGUUGUGAAUUGACCUGACGUGCCUCGGAUGGAAUCUUCCUCCGAAGCCCCUGGUCAAUUCAGAGAACCUGAAUGCUUCCUCCCUUCUUUAGCGAAAGUCAUUGUCAGCUCGAAUAUACUCGUCCAUCUUCUGGAGCAGCUUCUCCAAAGUUUGAGGAGGCUUCCUGGCAAAGUAUUGAGUUGAAGGUCCCGGCCGAAGCCCCUUAAUCAUGGCCUCAAUGACAAUUUUAUUGGGCACUGUUGGUGCCUGUGCCCUCAGACGCAGGAACCUUCGGACAUAUGCCUGAAGGUAUUCUUCGUGGUCCUGAGUGCACUGGAAUAAAGCUUGAGUAGUGACUGUCUUCGUUUGAAACCCUUGGAAGCUAGUUAUCAACAUGUCCUUCAGCUUUUGCCAUGAGGUGAUUGUUCCUGGCCGAAGAGAGGAGUACCAGGUUUGUGCAACACUCUUGAUAGCCAUGACGAAAGACUUUGCCAUGACUGCAGUAUUACCACCAUACGAAGAUAUGGUUGCUUCAUAGCUCAUCAAGAAUUGCUUCGGGUCUGAAUGACCAUCGUACAUGGGGAGCUGGGGUGGCUUGUAAGAUUGGGGCCAAGGUGUAGCCUGCAGUUCUGUUGACAGAGGAGAAGUAUCAUCAAAAGCAAAAUUUCCAUGAUGGAAAUCUUCAUACCAGUCAUCCUCGUUGUAGAAGCCCUCCUGAUGAAGCUCUCUGUGCGUAGGCCUUCGGUUCUGGUCAUCUUGAGCAAGAUGAUGAACUUCUUCAGAGGCUUCGUCUAUCUGCCUUUGUAGGUCAGCUAGACGAGCCAUCUUUUCCUUCUUCCGUUGGACCUGUUGACGGAGCAUUUCCAAGUUUUGGAUUUCUUGAUCCAAGUCGUCCUCCGGAGGCGUUGAACUAGUGGCCUUCCUAUUCUAUCUUCGGGCCUCCCUAAGAGAAAGGACAUCCUGAUUGGGAUCCAGCGGCUGCAGAGUGGCAGCCCCUGUGGCUGAAGCUUUCUUUGGCAGCAUGACGAAGGCGAUGCUUGCCGAAGGUGUUCAAAACUUGAAAAAUGGAAGUGAGUUCACCGGAGGUGGGCGCCAAUGUUGGGAACUUGUUCUCAAAUGCUUCGAAUUAAGAACAAGGCAACAUGAAAAGUGUUAAAUGUUAAAGUCCUUCGUCCUUCAAGACAUUAUGUCCCUUCGGAUAUAAUGAAUUUCGGACGAAGGUUAUGAAGGAAAGACCCAUCGUAAGCUCGAUAGAUGAUAAAAAAGAAUUCAUACAUGAAAUACGAAUAAUAAUACAAAUAUUAUCAUCAACUUAUUUUUAUUUGCAAUAUCAUAUUUGUAAUAACAAAUUAUAAAUGUACCUUCGAAUUGACGGAAAGAAAAGGUACAGGCGUGAUGCAAAAAGCGAAUGCCAAGUCAGUGUGAACAGUACGGGAGUACUGUUCAUCUAUUUAUAGGCGCGGGACGCAGCCCGUGUAGAAUUACAUUAAUGCCCUUUACAUUUAUCAAUAAAUCUAUAAUAAUUCUUCGAGGUCUAAUUUGGCUUUUCAUCUUUAAGCGGUUCCUCUUUUCUGCCGUCAUGUCGAAGCUUUUCUGCGCAAAGCUUCAUGAUUAUCUUAUCCUUCGUCAUGAUCGCCUUUCGUCCCACUCAAGCUUCGUCUAGGCCAGACACUUGUAUACCCGUAACCUAAUUCCGAAGAUACCUGUUCACAUAUUUCACUUGGAAAAUAUUGUCAAAUCAUGUUUUUGAGGACCUUCGGAAACCGAAGGCCCCUAACAAUUCCCUCCUCAAGGAGUCCUCACUCUCCCAAGUAGCUUCCUCUUCUCCUUCUCUGCUCCACUGAACUUUACAGAGUUUCACUUCUGAGGUACGUGUCUUUUGGACUGCUGAAUCAAGGAUCUUUACUGGCUUCUCAUGGUACUGAAGAUCUUUCUGAAUCUGCACUGCCUCUUCUUCGAUGUGACUUUCUGGUGCUUGCCGGCAUUUGCAGAGCUGGGAUACGUGAAACACAUUGUGGAUGUCAGGCAUGGAUUCUGGUAGUUCAAGACGGUAUGCUGCGGGUCCCACUCUGCCAAUGAUGGGAUAGGGACUGACGAAUCACAGUGCUAGCUUUCCUUUUACUUGGAACCUUCUGACACCAUGCAUCGGGGAGACCUUGAGGUAGACAAAGUCUCCUUCCUCAAAUCUGAGUUCUCUCCGCCUGUUGUCCGCAUAACUCUUCUGCUGACUCUAAGCUUCAAGUAAUCUCCUGCGGAUCAGGGCAACUUUUUCUUCCGCCUCUUUGACAAAGGCAGGUCCUUCCAGUGCCUUUUCCCCUACAUUGGACCACAUGAGAGGGGUCUGGCAUUUUCGUCCAUACAAUGCUUCGAACGGUGACAUCUUGAUGCUGGCCUGAUAGCUGUUAUUAUACGAGAACUCCGCAUAGGGCAGACUGGAUUCCCAACUUCUAUCGAAUGCUAGCACACAUGCUCUUAAUAGAUCUUUGAGGACCUUGUUGACUCUUUCUGUCUGCCUGUCUAUCUGAGGGUGAUAGGCGGUGCUGAAAUCUAGCUUGGUGCCCAUAGCUUUCUGAAGGCUUGUCCAGAUUUUGGAGGUGAACUGGGUUCCUCUGUCUGACACUAUCUUUCUUGGAAUGCCAUGGAGUCUGACUAUCUCUUUGAGAUAAAUUCGGGCAAGGGUGGCUCCUCCAAAGGUAGUUUUCACUGGGAUGAAAUGGGCUACCUUGGUGAGGCGAUCUAUUAUUACCUAGAUAGAGUCAUUCCCUUUUUGCAUCCGGGGAAGUCCGGUUACAAAAUCCAUGCCUAUUUCUUCCCAUUUCCAUUCCGGCACUGGGAGGGGUUGCAAUAGGCCUGCAGGUUUUUGGUGCUCGGCCUUCGUUCGUUGGCAGGUGUCACACUGGGCUACAUACUGUGCUAUCUCUUUCUUCAUCCCUCUCCACCAGUAUCUGGUUUUGAGGUCUAGGUACAUCUUGGUAGUUCCUGGGUGGAUGGAGUAGGCUGAGUUGUGAGCUUCCUCGAGCAGGACUUCUCGUGCCUCUCCUUUUGGUACACACAGACGAUUCUUGAACCAAAGGGCUCCUUGUUCAUCUGUCCUGGGGUCCGAGAGUUGUUCCUUGCGAGCUUUUUCCACAAGUCUUGUUGUCUCUGAGUCUAGGCGUUGAGCUUUGCAUAUGAGGUCUUCUAGUAUUGGUUUGACUUCGAGACUGCCGUUGUUUCCCAAACAUGCAUUCAGUUGAGCUGAUUCCUUCUUCCAAUCUUCUAAAAAGUUGGUUCCCUUUAUUCCGAAAGUUUUUCGGCUGAGGGCGUCUGCUACCAUGUUGGGCUUUCCGGGGUGGUAAUGAAUCUCAAGGUCACAGUCUUUGAUCAGUUCCAACCAUCUUCGUUGACGGAGAUUGAGAUCUGGCUGGGUGAAGAUAUACCUCAGACUCUUGUGAUCGGUGAAGAUGUGACAUUUGUUCCCAAUUAGGUAAUGCCUCCAUAUCUUCAAAGCAUGCACUAUGGCUGCCAAUUCCAAAUCAUGGGUGGGGUAAUUCUGCUCAUGCGGCUUAAGUAGGCGCGAUGCAUAAGCAAUGACUUUCUCGUUUUGCAUCAGCACACACCCUAAGCCUUGCCUCGAGGCAUCACAGAAGACGAUGAAAUCCUGAUGUAUAUCUGGUAGUGUCAAAACGGGUGCAGUCGUGAGCUUCUCCUUUAUGAUCUGGAAACUUCCUUCACAUUUUGGGGUCCACACAAACUUAUGGUCUUUCUUGAGGAGCUCGGUCAUAGGUCUUGCUUAUGCUGGAGAAUCCCUUGAUAAAGCGGCGGUAAUAUCCUGCCAUUCCCAGAAAGCCUCGAACUUCACUGACGUUGGAUGGCUGCCUCCAUUUUGAUAUUGCUUCCACCUUGGAAGGGUCUACUUCUAAUCCUUCCGCGGUCAAGAUAUGCCCAAGGAAGGCUAUAUUUUCCAACCAGAAUUCGCAUUUACUGAGUUUAGCAUAAAGUUGGUGUGCCCUGAGUUUUCCAAGGACGAUCCGAAGGUGACGCUUAUGGUCUUCGCGGUUCUUGGAGUAGAUAAGGAUGUCGUCAAUGAAGACUACGACAAACGUAUCCAGCUCUUCCAUAAACACUUUGUUCAUGAGGUUCAUGAAAAAGGCGGGUGCGUUUGUCAGUCCGAAGGGCAUCAUUGUGAAUUCAUAUUGUCCGUACCGGGUGACAAAUGCAGUCUUUUGGAUAUCUGCUUCCUUGAUUCUCAGUUGGUGAUAACUAGACCAUAGGUCUAUCUUGGAGAAGUAUUUGGCCCCUUGAAGCUAAUCGAAGAGGUCGUCGAGCCGAGGAAGUGGAUACUUGUUCUUGAUGGUGACUUCAUUUAACGGUCGGUAAUCAAUACACAUCCUCAUACUUCCAUCUUUCUUAGAGACGAAAAGGACUGGUGCUCCCCAAGGGGAUGAGCUGGGACGAAUGUACCCUUUUUGUUGAAGACCUGCGAUUUGGAGCUUCAAUUCUGCUAACUCGGUAGGAGCCAUACGGUAUGGUCUCUUUGCGAUUGGUGUCGUUCCAGAAAUCAGAUCUAUGUAGAAUUCCACUUCUCUUUCCGGUAGCAUUCCUGGUAACUCUUCUGGGAACACAUCCAUGAAUUCUUCUACCACUGAUAUGUUCUCUGUUGCUAGAUUGAACAUCAUCGGAUCAUUGGCGGGUGGCUGAGCCUGACAAGAGACUGACUUUCCUUGGUGGUCUGUGAGAAGGACAGUCUUGUUUGCGCAACUGAUGAUACCUUUGUGUUUGGUCAACCAAUCCAUCCCUAAGAUCUCAUCAAUCCCUUGGGAUGGCAAGACGGUUAAGUCUGCCAAGAAUACUACCCCACUUAAAAGGAUUCUGACUUGGGAGCAUUUGAGCUGACAUAGAAGGUCUGACCCUGGGGUUCGGGUGACCAAGGGAAUCUCUAGAGGGGUAGAGGGAAUGCCAUGCUUCUCCACAAAACUAGUGGCUAUAAAAGAAUGGGAUGCUCCUGAAUCGAAAAGUACGGUAGCGGGAGUAAAUUCAACAAGGAACUCAUCGAGCACUACUCCCGGAGCUUGCUGAGCCUGUUGAGCAUCGACGUGAUUAACUCGUGCCCUUCCUUGAUACUGGGUCUUGUUCUGCUGGCUGAUGGAGGAGGGCUCCUUGGGGGCGGAUGCUGAGGUAUUCUUGGGGCCAUUCAUCGAGUUGGAGUAGGCAGGUCCUGAUGGCUUCAGCCGGGGGCAGUUGUUCUUGAAGUGUCUGGGAUCUCCGCAGUGCCAACAUGCAUUCGUCGGGGGUUGGUUGCUUGCAACUGAGGGGGCAUGAAAGGAGCUCUGACUCUGCUGACUGAAUCGUGACAGGGUGGGUCCAGUUGGUCUACUGAAGCUUGGUCCCUUGGGUGGAAAUCCAAAGGAUCGAGUUCUCUGGUGCCAAUCUUGCUGCUGAGCCCGGAGGACUUGGAAUUUCCUCUUGAGAUGGCCUUUUUCUUCCUCCUUUGCCCUUUCCACUUGCAUGGCUUUAUUGGAGAGGUGAGAGAAACUAAGGAAGUCUUGGCUGGCCAGGAUGGUCUUAAGUUCUGGCCUGAGUCCCUUCAGGAAGCGGGCCAUCUUCUUGACUUCGGUACUGAUGUCAUCUGGCGCGUAGAGAGCCAACUCCGUGAACUUGUGCACAUAUUCACUGACACAUCUUCUGUCUUGAGUCAGUUCCCGUAAUUCGUCUUCCUUGAGCUGAACGAUCCCUUGGGGCACAUGGUGCUCCCGGAAAGUUGUUUCAAACUCCGCCCAGGUAGCAUUUCUAAUGGUAACAUUGAAGGUAUCCCACCAAGCUAAGGCCAUCCCGGAAAGUUGAUGAGCAGCCAGUUGAACACGCUGAUUUUCUGGGCAUCCGAUGGCUUCCAGCUUUCUUUUAAUCGUGCGCAGCCAAUCGUCAGCAUCGAGGGGAUUGCUAGACCUGACAAACGUGGGAGGCUUGAGCCUCAGGAAAUCCCCUAUCCUGUCUUGCGGUCUUCCACCAUUCGGACGUUGAUUUCCCAGACUUUGAGUGAGGACCUCGAUGAGUCGGGUUUGGUUGGCUAGAACUUGGGCUAGAUCUAAGGGUAGUUCUAGAGGUGCGGGGAGGUGGGUCUCACUUUCCUCUCUACCGGCGUGGUUUUAUCUAAAGCCAUCUGCCAGGGGGAGAGAGUCACUAUUAUGCACAUGCCAAUUGUUUUCAACCAUGUUAUUUAUUCAUUACACCAAUACAUUACAAGCAUAUGGCUACUACAAGUUGUACUACACGCGAGCGUUCUCUGAGGUACUACCGAAGUCUUUUUCUAUAGUGUCCCCAAAUUCCUUGAGAAGAUCAUCAAGGCUAGCUAGGGACAUAUCCUUGAUGUUGGACAAAUUCUCUAUCCUGGCAGGAGCUGGUGCUGGGGGAGCCUUCUUCCUCCGCUCAGCCUGGCCUCCUUGGUUCCUGGUCUUCUUUUGGAUUUUCUUCGUGGGGGUGAGCUUCUUUAGCUUCUUAUCAUAGUCCAUCUUUAAGGUUUGAUAGGCUUCAUGGGUGUUGGCGUCCUCGCCUUCCGCUAUGUCGAGACACUCUUGGAGGGAUGCCUUCUCUUUCUUAAGCUCCUUGACAUGCUGCUCUAAGCUUUCCACCCGGGAGUUUAGGUGGGUGCAGUGGGAGGAGAGAUCAUCGUAGUGGUUAUCGAGAGUGUGGAGGUAUCCGGCAAUGUAGACAAUGGUGGGGUCAUCCUCGGUGGGGUCUCUCCCUGACAGGGCCUGAAGUCUUUUCCUCUAGGUGGGGGUAUUAUUGUUGCUGGGUGGGAAGUAACGAAGGGGGGUUUCAAAGAUCUCUCUGCUAUAGUUUUGGCAUAGCUGUUUAAACGCUUUUCGGGCAACACUUUGGCAAGUGUCUGGGAAGCGGUGCCCAAUGAAGGUGACUUGGAAGGGAGGGUGGUUUGGGUAGCUUCGGCUUUCUCCCAGGUAAACCGCCAUAGAGCACUUCUCUAUUCCAUUUUCGCGGUAUUCCUUCCAGACAUAUUCGGGCUUCUUGCGGAUCCCCAUGCGUAGUCCGCAACUUCGUAGGAGGUGAGGAAAUCCUUCCUCCUCUGAGCAGUAGGAUGUCCUAAUGACCAGGCCAUCUGGUAGGAGAAAAGAAGGGUCUGUUAAUAUCGGGGAAAGGAGAGAAGGUGUUUCUUGGGGGUAAGAGGUGUUUUCUUGUUAAGGCAACUUUUAAGGUCAGGGCUGCGGUCUACGGCCAGUCCUAUAGGCUCUGAUACCACCUAAAGCGUCCCGAUCCUUUGGGACUCAAAUGUGAUACAAUUACUAGUCCCAGGAGGCUAGUAACCACAUUCCUUACUUCAAAUAGUACAGAGUCUGAGUAAAUGUUAUUACAAUACCGGGGGUACAAGCUCGAGAGUGAGCCGAAAUUAUAAAACGCAGUGGAAUAUAAUUUAGCCCAAGCCACAGGCAGAACUAGGUGAAGACACAGCCCCUUCAAUCAAGCAUAGCAGAAAAGAAGUCUUCAGCUGCUGAAAAACAUAAAUAAAUUUGGGUGAAUACACUAGCUAUUCCGCAAGCCCACCCGGUUCCCAUAAAGAGAAAGAGACAUAUAUCAUACAUGCUUCAUAUGGUGGAGUUGAAGUCACUCUUCUUUUUCUCAGAGAAAGGCAGUACUUGUUGUUAGGGUUUUCCCGAAACAAUAGAAAUGACACUUGCUUAACUACCACUGAGCUUCCUGCUCCCGUGGCACCAUUUUCCUUUCCAGAGACACACUUACAGACACACAUAUUUCCCUGUUCCCGGUUUUUAUAGAAACACUAAUUGUCAUACCACACCAGACUCGUCCAUACCAGUGGACACGGAAUAUUCGAAUAGGUUUAAACUCUGCGCAGAGGGGUACACUUUACCCACUAGUCCGGCUCUGCGAUCUCACGGCCAAUGAGAUCCGAAUCCGAAUCUCUUUCCUUCCUCGCACGUCCUAACUUUAAUGGUUAUACCGGAAGGAGUCAGGCCACCGCCAUGUCCAAACCGGACAAAACAUUCCCCCUCCUUAUCCUCCCGGUGCUCCCCAGCCUUCAUAACCCUAGGGUUGGACCGUACGAGUUCAGAUCGAGUGACUGCCCACACUGAGAGCACCUAGAGGGGGGUGAAUAGGUGAUCCUGCGAUACUUGAAAACUUAAGCCACAAAACUUGGUUAAUUGUUAGCACAAUAAUUGCCAAGUGGCUAGAGAGGAGUCAAAACACAGUAACCACAAGAAAUCAAUCACAGAGAUGGCACGAUGGUUAUCCCGUGGUUCGGCCAAGACCAACGCUUGCCUACUCCACGUUGUGGCGUCCCAACGGACGAGGGUUGCAAUCAACCCCUCUCAAGCGGUCCAAAGACCCACUUGAAUACCACGGUGUUUUGCUUGCUUUUUCUCAAUCCCGUUUGCGAGGAAUCUCCACAAUUUGGAGCCUCUCGCCCUUACACUUGAAAUUCACAAAGAUGCACUGAGCAACGGAGGGAUUAGCAACACACUCAAGACAAGAAAUCACAGCAACAAUACGCACACAAGUCGCAACAAGAGCUCGCAACACAACUCAAUGAGUUCACAACUCCACUAGAGCUCUAUAUGCUAUCACAAUGAAACAAAUGCGCGGAAUCGGUGUCUUGGUGCUUAGAGAUGUUGUAGGAAUGCUUGGUCUCUCCUCCAUGCGCCUAGGGGUCCCUUUUAUAGCCCCAAGGCAGCUAGGAGCCGUUGAGAACAAUCUGGGAAGGCAAUUCUUGCCUUCUGCCGUCUGGCGCACCGGACAGUCCGGUGCACACCGGACACUGUCCGGUGCCCGAUUUCUUUCCUUAACUGACGCAACCGACCGUUGGCAGCUAGAGAGCCGUUGGCGCACCGGACAUGUCCGAUGCACACCGGACAGUCCGGUGCCCCCUUCUAGUCGUUGGCUCGGCCACGUGUCCCGCGCAUAUCGCGCGGCCGACCGUUGGCCCGGCCGACCGUUGGCUCACCGGACAGUCCGGUGAAUUAUAGCCGUACGUCACCGGUGAAUUCUCGAGAGCGGCCAGUUCGCUCGAGCCAGUCUGGCGCACCGGACACUGUCCGGUGCACCACCGGACAGUCCGGUGCUCCAAGACUGAGCAGACUUGGCUGAACGAAGCCAUCUCAUUUCCACUUCGAUUUUUCCUAUUUCCAGCACUUAGACACAACACAUUAGUCCAUAAAAUAAUGUACUAAGUCUAGAAACAUACCUUUUGACAUGAUUUGCACUUUGUCCACCAUAUUGCAUAGAUCAACACAAAAGCACUUGUGUUGGCACUCAAUCACCAAAAUACUUAGAAAUGGCCCAAGGGCACAUUUCCCUUUCAAUCUCCCCCUUUUUGGUGAUUUAUGCCAACAUAACAUAAAGCAAGUAGAACAAGUGCAAAAUCACUCAAAUAAAACUCAAAUUUGUUUUGAAUCAGAUUUGGCAUAUAUGGAUCAUUCUUUGCCACCACUUGGUUUGUUUUUGCAAAUCAAACUCAAAUUUCUAUCUCCAAGUCAAAUACACAUGUUAAGACAUAAAGAGAGUCAUUCCAAGAGAAAUUGAUUCAAGAUUUCAAAAACUCCCCCUUUUCCCAUAAUCAACACUUCUCCCCACAAGAAGCCAACUUUUGACAAGAGAGCCUUUUUUCCAUAAUCAACACUUCUCUCCACAAGAAGCCGACUUUUGACAAGAGAGACAAUAAAAUAAACCAAAAGCUCUAUUCUACUAUUUUCAAAAUCUCUCAAGUGGUAGCUGAUCCAUUUGUUGCUUUGGCCUUUAUUUUCUCCCCCUUUGGCAUCAAGCACCAAAACGGAAUUAAUCUUGGCCCUUUAACCCCAUUGCCUCACCACAAUCUUCAAUAAGAAUACAAAGGCAAUAAGAGUACAUGAGAUGAACUUGGAACACGUGAUAGGUUUGACUAACGUGCAAUUCGAAAAAGAUAGACCUUGUGCAGCUUGUCAAGCAGGUAAACAAGUAGGAGGAGCACAUCACAGCAAGAAUGUGAUGACCACUUCAAGACCUCUGGAGCUGCUGCAUAUGGACCUCUUCGGACCCGUCGCCUAUUUGAGCAUAGGAGGAAGUAUGGUCUAGUUAUUGUUGAUGACUUUUCCCGCUUCACUUGGGUGUUCUUUUUGCAGGAUAAGUCUGAAACCCAAGGGACCCUCAAGCGCUUCCUCAGGAGAGCUCAAAAUGAGUUUGAGCUCAAAGUGAAGAAGAUAAGGAGCGACAACGGGUCCGAAUUCAAGAAUCUCCAAGUGGAGGAGUUUCUUGAGGAGGAGGGGAUCAAGUACGAGUUCUCCGCUCCCUACACACCUCAGCAAAAUGGUGUGGUAGAGAGGAAGAACAGGACGCUCAUUGAUAUGGCAAGGACUAUGCUUGGAGAGUUCAAGACCCCCGAGUGUUUUUGGUCGGAAGCCGUAAACACGGCUUGCCACGCCAUCAACAGAGUCUAUCUUCACCACAGGAACAAAAGGAGCAAGAUCAACCUUCUUCCUCAACUAUGGUGCAUCCCCCAACUCAAGACGAUGAACAGGUUCAUCAACAGGAGGCGUAUGAUCAAGGGGGAGCACAAGAUGAUCAUGUGAUAGAAGAAGAAGCGCAACCGGCACCUCCAACCCAAGUUCGAGCGAUGAUCCAAAGGGAUCAUCCCGUCGACCAAAUUCUGGGUGAUAUUAGCAAGGGAGUAACUACUCGAUCUCGAUUAGUUAAUUUUUGUGAGCAUUACUCCUUUGUUUCUUCUAUUGAGCCUUUCAGGGUAGAAGAGGCCUUGCUAGAUCCGAACUGGGUGUUGGCCAUGCAAGAGGAGCUCAACAACUUCAAGAGGAAUGAGGUUUGGAUGCUGGUGCCUCGUCCUAAGCAAAAUGUUGUGGGAACCAAGUGGGUGUUCCGCAACAAACAGGACGAGCACGGGGUGGUGACGAGGAACAAGGCUCGACUUGUGGCAAAAGGUUAUACCCAAGUCGCAGGUUUGGACUUUGAGGAGACUUUUGCUCCUGUGGCAAGGCUAGAGUCUAUUCGUAUUUUGCUAGCAUAUGCCGCUCACCAUUCUUUCAGGUUGUUCCAAAUGGAUGUGAAGAGCGCUUUCCUCAACGGGCCAAUCAAGGAGGAGGUGUAUGUAGAGCAACCCCUUGGCUUCGAGGAUGAACGGUACCCCGACCACGUGUGUAAGCUCUCUAAGGCGCUCUAUGGACUUAAGCAAGCCCCAAGAGCAUGGUAUGAAUGCCUUAGAGAUUUCUUAAUUGCUAAUGCUUUCAAGGUUGGGAAAGCCGAUCCAACUCUUUUCACUAAGACUUGUGACGGUGAUCUAUUUGUGUGCCAAAUUUAUGUCGAUGACAUAAUAUUUGGUUCUACUAAUAAAAAGUCUUGUGAAGAGUUCAGCAGGGUGAUGACGCAGAAAUUUGAGAUGUCGAUGAUGGGCGAGUUGAACUACUUCCUUGGGUUCCAAGUAAAGCAACUCAAGGACGGCACCUUCGUCUCUCAAACGAAGUACACGCAAGACUUGCUGAAGCGGUUUGGGAUGAAGGAUGCCAAGCCCGCAAAGACUCCAAUGGGGACCGAUGGACACACCGACCUCAACAAAGGAGGUAAGUCCGUUGAUCAAAAGGCAUACCGGUCAAUGAUAGGGUCAUUACUUUACUUAUGUGCUAGUAGACCGGAUAUUAUGCUUAGCGUAUGCAUGUGUGCUAGAUUUCAAUCCGAUCCUAAGGAGUGUCACUUAGUGGCAGUGAAGCGAAUCCUUAGAUAUUUAGUUGCUACGCCUUGCUUCGGGAUCUGGUAUCCUAAGGGGUCUACCUUUGACUUGAUUGGAUAUUCAGAUUCCGACUAUGCUGGAUGUAAGGUCGAUAGGAAGAGUACAUCGGGGACGUGCCAAUUCUUAGGAAGGUCCCUGGUGUCAUGGAACUCUAAGAAACAAACUUCCGUUGCCCUAUCCACUGCUGAGGCCGAGUAUGUUGCCGCAGGACAAUGUUGCGCGCAACUACUUUGGAUGAGGCAAACCCUCAGGGACUUUGGCUACAAUCUGAGCAAAGUCCCACUCCUAUGUGAUAAUGAGAGUGCUAUCCGCAUGGCGGAAAAUCCUGUUGAACACAGCCGCACAAAGCACAUAGACAUCCGGCAUCACUUUUUGAGAGACCACCAGCAAAAGGGAGAUAUCGAAGUGUUUCAUGUUAGCACCGAGAACCAGCUAGCCGAUAUCUUUACCAAGCCUCUAGAUGAGAAGACCUUUUGCAGGUUGCGUAGUGAGCUAAAUGUCUUAGAUUCACGGAACCUGGAUUGAUGUAUAGCAUACAUGUGUUUAUGCCUUUGAUCAUGUUCCUUAUGCAUUUCGUUGCUUACUUAUGGUGCUCAAGUUGUACAAACACUUCCGGAUCUCACAAGUCCUUAUGCAAGUGAUGCACAUAUUUAGGGGGAGCUGUGCUACAACUUGACCUUUUGAGACUAACCAUGUGCUUGAGUUUGCUGUUUUAGUCUCAAAGGAGGUUUGAAAGGGAAAAGGUGGACUUGGACCAUGAAAGACUUCCACUGCACUCCGAUGAGAGGGUAACUUAUUCCAAGUUCAUCUCAUGUACUCUUAUUGCCUUUGUAUUCUUAUUGAAGAUUUUGGUGAGGCAAUGGGAUUAAAGGGCCAAGAUUAAUUCCGUUUUGGUGCUUGAUGCCAAAGGGGGAGAAAAUAAAGGCCAAAGCAACAAAUGGAUCAGCUACCACUUGAGAGAUUUUGAAAAUAGUAGAAUAGAGCUUUUGGUUUAUUUUAUUGUCUCUCUUGUCAAAAGUCGGCUUCUUGUGGAGAGAAGUGUUGAUUAUGGAAAAAAAGGCUCUCUUGUCAAAAGUUGGCUUCUUGUGGGGAGAAGUGUUGAUUAUGGGAAAAGGGGGAGUUUUUGAAAUCUUGAAUCAAUUUCUCUUGGAAUGACUCUCUUUAUGUCUUAACAUGUGUAUUUGACUUGGAGAUAGAAAUUUGUGUUUGAUUUGCAAAAACAAACCAAGUGGUGGCAAAGAAUGAUCCAUAUAUGCCAAAUCUGAUUCAAAAGUAUUACAACUCCUAUGAGACUGUCUUCUAUCAUUGUACAUAAAAACGUUGUUCUUUUUAGUACUACUUGCCAUAGGGGCCUUCCCUUUCUCCUUGGCGGAGAUGGGAGCCUUAUGGCUUGUUAAGUUCUUGGCUUCCCUCUUGAAGCCAAGCCCAUCCUUAAUUGAGGGGUGUCUACCAAUCGUGUAGGCAUCCCUAGCAAAUUUUAGUUUAUCAAAAUCACUUUUGCUAGCCUUAAGUUGGGCAUUAAGACUAGCCAUUUCAUCAUUUAACUUUGCAAUAGAAGCUAUGUGUUCACUACAAGCAUCAAUAUCAAAGUCUUUACAUCUAUUGCAAAUACCAACAUUUUCUACACAAGUUGUUGAUCUACUAGCUAUUUCUAUCUUAGCAUUCAAAUCAUCAUUAAUGCUCCUUAAGCUAGAAAUCGUCUCAUGGCAAGAAGAUAAUUCACAAGAAAGCAUUUCAUUUCUUUUAACUUCUAAAGCAUGAGAUUUUUGUGCUUCUACAAAUUUGUCAUGUUCUUCAUACAACAAAUCUUCUUGUUUUUCUAAAAGCCUAUUCUUAUCAUUCAAGGCAUCAAUUAAUUCAUUAAUUUUAUCUACCUUGGUUCUAUCUAGGCCCUUAAAUAAACAUGAAUAAACUAUUUCAUCCUCAUCACUAGAUUCGUCUUCACUUGAAGAAGCAUAAGUAGAGUUUCGACUACAUACCUUCUUCUCCCUUGCCAUAAGGCAUGUGUGACGCUCGUUGGGGAAGAGGGAUGACUUGUUGAAGGCGGUGGCGGCGAGUCCUUCAUUGUCGGAGUCGGAGGAGGAGCAAUCCGAGUCCCACUCCUUUCCUAGAUGUGCUUCGCCCUUGGCCUUCUUGUAAUUUUUCUUCUUUUCCCUCUUGCUCCCGUGUUCCUGGUCACUUUCAUUAUCGGGACAGUUAGCAAUAAAAUGACCAAUCUUACCGCAUUUGAAGCAUGAGCGCUUUCCCUUGGCUUUGGUCUUGCUUGGCUGUCCCUUGCGACCCUUAAGCGCCGUCUUGAAUCUCUUGAUGAUGAGGGCCAUCUCUUCAUCAUUAAGUCCGGCGGCCUCAAUUUGUGCUACCUUGCUGGGUAACGCCUCCUUGCUCCUUGUUGCCUUGAGAGCAACGGGUUGAGGCUCAUUGAUUGGACCGUUUAGAGCGUCGUCCACGUACCUCGCUUCCUUGAUCAUCAUUCGCCCGCUUACGAAUUUUCCAAGGAUUUCUUCGGGCAACAUUUUGGUGUACCUGGGAUUCUCACGAAUGUUAUUCACCAAAUGAGGAUCAAGAACGGUAAAGGACCUUAGCAUCAAUCGGACGACGUCGUGGUCCGUCCAUCGCGUGCUUCCGUAGCUCCUUAUUUUGUUGAUAAGGGUCUUGAGCCGAUUGUAUGUUUGUGUUGGCUCCUCGCCCCUUAUCAUUGCGAAUCGUCCAAGCUCGCCCUCCACCAACUCCAUCUUGGUGAGCAAGGUGACGUCGUUCCCCUCAUGUGAAAUCUUGAGGGUGUCCCAGAUCUGCUUGGCGUUAUCCAAGCCACUCACUUUGUGAUAUUCAUCCCUGCACAAUGAAGCUAGAAGAACAGUAGUAGCUUGUGCAUUCUUAUGAAUUUGCUCAUUAAUGGACAUGGGACUAUCCGAACUAUCAAAGUGCAUUCCACUCUCUACAAUCUCCCAUAUACUAGGAUGGAGAGAGAACAGGUGACUACGCAUUUUGUGACUCCAAAAUCCGUAGUCCUCUCCAUCAAAAUGAGGAGGUUUACCAAGUGGAAUAGAUAAUAAAUGAGCAUUUGCACUUUGAGGAAUACGAGAGUAGUCAAAAGAAAAGUUCGAAUUGACCGGUUUCCUUCUCUCGUAGUCGUUGUGGUCGUCGUCCUUUUGGGAGGAAGUAGACUCAUCGCUGUCGUCGUAGUAGACGAUCUCCUUGAUGCGUCUUGUCUUCUUCUUCUUCCCAUCUUUGCGUCUGUGGCCCGAGCCCGAGUCGUUGGACUUGUCAUCCUUUGGCUCAUUGACGAAGGACUCCUUCUGCUUGUCGUUGAUCACGAUUCCCUUCCCCUUAGGAUCCAUCUCUUCGGGUGGUUAGUCCCUUUCUUGAAGAGAACGGCUCCGAUACCAAUUGAGAGCACCUAGAGGGGGGGUGAAUAGGUGAUCCUGCGAUACUUGAAAACUUAAGCCACAAAACUUGGUUAAUUGUUAGCACAAUAAUUGCCAAGUGGCUAGAGAGGAGUCAAAACACAGUAACCACAAGAAAUCAAUCACAGAGAUGGCACGGUGGUUAUCCCGUGGUUCGGCCAAGACCAACGCUUGCCUACUCCACGUUGUGGCGUCCCAACGGACGAGGGUUGUAAUCAACCCCUCUCAAGCGGUCCAAAGACCCACUUGAAUACCACGGUGUUUUGCUUGCUUUUUCUCAAUCCCGUUUGCGAGGAAUCUCCACAAUUUGGAGCCUCUCGCCCUUACACUUGAAAUUCACAAAGAAGCACUGAGCAAGGGAGGGAUUAGCAACACACUCAAGACAAGAAAUCACAGCAACAAUACGCACACAAGUCGCAACAAGAGCUCGCAACACAACUCAAUGAGUUCACAACUCCACUAGAGCUCUAUAUGCUAUCACAAUGAAACAAAUGCGCGGAAUCGGUGUCUUGGUGCUUAGAGAUGUUGUAGGAAUGCUUGGUCUCUCCUCCAUGCGCCUAGGGGUCCCUUUUAUAGCCCCAAGGCAGCUAGGAGCCAUUGAGAACAAUCUGGGAAGGCAAUUCUUGCCUUCUGCCGUCUGGCGCACCGGACAGUCCGGUGCACACCGGACACUGUCCGGUGCCCGAUUUCUUUCCUUAACUGACGCAACCGACCGUUGGCAGCCAGAGAGCCGUUGGCGCACCGGACAUGUCCGGUGCACACCGGACAGUCCGGUGCCCCCUUCUAGCCGUUGGCUCAGCCACGUGUCCCGCGCAGAUCGCGCGGCCGACCGUUGGCCCGGCCGACCGUUGGCUCACCGGACAGUCCGGUGCACACCGGACAGUCCGGUGAAUUAUAGCCGUACGUCGCCGGUGAAUUCCCGAGAGCGGCCAGUUCGCUCGAGCCAGUCUGGCGCACCGGACACUGUCCGGUGCACCACCGGACAGUCCGGUGCUCCCAGACUGAGCAGACUUGGCUGAACGAAGCCAUCUCAUUUCCACUUCGAUUUUUCCUGUUUCCAGCACUUAGACACAACACAUUAGUCCAUAAAAUAAUGUACUAAGUCUAGAAACAUACCUUUUGACAUGAUUUGCACUUUGUCCACCAUAUUGCAUAGAUCAACACAAAAGCACUUGUGUUGGCACUCAAUCACCAAAAUACUUAGAAAUGGCCCAAGGGCACAUUUCCCUUUCACACACAGCCUCGAGUGGUUGUACGUUUCAUGAGUACACGUAGUGAAGGAUGACAAACCGGUCCUUAUACGAGAGGACAAUCCUUCUGCUCACGCAUAAACCAGCUGAGCCAUCACCUUAGGCCCUCCCCUAAACCAGGGAGUCCCUGAUCAUCCUACCCAGGAGGUGAUGAGGGUGAAUACCAUUCAUCGCACACUUUUUGGAAAACAUCGUUAUUCAUACCCCUUUUCUUAUCCCAUAUCUUGUGAUCAAAAGGUAUUAGUUAAUGCGGGCUCUCUCAUGCUCACCAUGCAAAUAGAUUCCAUCCCUUAAUCUCGGCUUAGGUAGUGGUAGAGAGAAAUAGGUAAAUUAUGCAUCAAGGGAAGGAUGGACUUGCCUUCGACGAAGCUUUCCUGGCACAAAAGAUUUAUCUCGGAGGGGUCGGGUUCCUGCCCUUCUUCCGGAGCUACAAAUUCCGGACGAUCGGAUCCCUCUUCCGCUAACAAACACAUAUAAGAACAAUACAUCAAUCAUGGUGACUUUAGUGGGGUGUGCCAUUUCUUAUAUCUUACUAUUUUUUGCCCUAUAAUUUAUUUAAACUAUUUUUGGUGCAUAAAAUAUUAGCAUAUACUAAUAUAUGUGAAAAUGGGAAAAAGAAAUGAGAAAAGAAAAAGAAAAGGGUUUUCCUGCUUGCUGGGCCGGGGGGAAGAUUUGGCCCACCCGGGCGCGAGCGCGCGUGCGCGGGCGCGGAAGGCGGCCCAGCCGGCCCAUCAGCGAGGGAGACGGCGGUGGACGGCGCCGUGGCGCGGGCCCACACGUCAGCGAGGGAAGGGGGUUUAACGGUGCGGAGCAGCGACGGGGGGGGGGGAGGUCUACCGAAGCUCGACCGCCGGUGAGAUCCCGCGGCGGUUCUCCGCCGUGGGUCCAGUUCUGUGGCGGGGGAGCGGUGGCGAGGCAUGGGCGGGGGUAGGGGAUCAUGGGGGUGGGGUCAAUUUGACCGGCGGGGGCCUAGGGUGGCCGGUCCACGGCGCGGUGGCGGGUGCUCGCGGCGGUGAGGUCGCCGGCAAGGCAGCCGAGCGCAAUAGGAGGCGGGGAUGGGUGUGUUGCGAUCGUGAGUGAGUGGCGGAGUUCAAGCACCAAGUUAAUUCGACCGAAGGCUACUAGAGAGGGGAGAACAAAGCUCACCGGAGUGAAAGGGGGAACGCGGCGGCGCUAGCUCGAUUGGGCUUGGGGAGGAGUGGAGGAGAUGGUCGGGGCUGGUGUGGAGGAAACGGAGCUCGGGCGGCCCCUUUUAUAGGCGCCCGGGAAGGGGAAGGAAGGGAGGGGACGAUGAGCGCCGACGAGCUUGCCAUGAUGGUGGGGAUGGAGCAAACGGCAACGAGACGGCUCAGGCAGGCGAGGGGUGAGGGGAUGGCUCGGGUACAGUGGCGGGGUGGUCGCUGAGGUCGGUGCGAGCAUUGAUGGUGAAGCGACGGGGCGUGAGGCGGCGAACGCGCCGGUGAUGGCAUGGGCGGGACGAUGGUCCUAACAGGCGGGCCCGGGCUGCCAGUGGGAGAGCGGCGCAAGAGGGAGAGAGGUGGAGCCGCUGACCGGUGGGGCCGGUAUGUCAGGUGCGGCGCGGGCGCGCGCAGCUGGGCCGCUUGGGCCGUGGGAGGAGAGGGGGGGGGAAAGAGCGGGCGCGGCGCGGUUUGGGCCAAAAUCGGCCCAGCCGAGUGGGGGAAGGAAUUUUCUUUUUUGUCUUUUUCUGUUUUCUAUUUCCUUUUUCCAUUUUCUAUUUUUGUUUCUUUUUAUUUCCUUUUCUUUUGAAUCAACAAUUUGCUAAAAAAAUCUUGUGUGUUGAAAAUAGUCUAUGUGAGGUGCUCCUAACAUUUCAAGUGUAUGCACAUGAUGAGAUGACCUAAGGGUGGAGUUUAGGGAGAAAAUAAAAUAAAAGGGGGGUUUAGGAGAUUAGGGUUCCAAACCUUGGGUUGAGAUUAUUGGGAUGUUACACCCCGACCGCCGUCGUGCAGUGAUCGCACUUGUACCCACCAUAACCGGAAUGGGAGACUACGUCUCAAGUUGCGUGAGGAGGGCAAUCUGCGGGCAGGUUCACUCAGGUACUAGGCUUAUCGAUUCACCAUAUUUCUCGACAUGUGUUUAGUACAUUCAAACGCUUGACGCAGGUACCACACAUUAAUCCUUAUUCGAUUUUUUCAUAUCGUAGACAACGCAUCCCCAUGGAUCGUUGUCCUUAGACCAUCAUCAUUUCGAUAUAAAAAUGGAUACAACCAAUUCCUGACCUCGCGCGAGUGCUAGAAAAAUCACUCGACUUCUACCGAGAUCCUUAAUUAGCAAAGCAGCUACUCGACCUAGCAUACUAGUAUCCAUCUCAAAAGGAAUCCUGAGUUCAUGCAACUAGGGUUUCAGACAACUCCUACACUUAAGUGCACAGUACAAGCCUACAAACAUUAAGUGCAGAAAAAUAGCAUAUAUAUAUAACGGUUAUGCAUAAAACCGGGGCUUGCCUUCAAAAGCUGGGGCAGGGAGAUCCUCAGUGGCAGGCUCUGGUGCUGGCUCCUGGACUCCCUCCUAAGCAACUCCUUGUCCGGAAUGAGUAUGUACUCUCCGCCAGUGAGGUUACUAUCUAUUGAAUGCAAUGAAUAAGAUACAUGUAUGUUAAUGAUAUGCAAAUUUAGUAAACACGAUGUAUGGUGAAACCACACUAAGGCGGUGGGUAAACUAGAGUUUCUUUAUUGUAUGAUGCUCUUAGUGUUUUAUACUUACCUGAUCUAAGUUAUGAGUGGAAUUAAGAUUUUGGUCAUCCCCCAAAGUUUUAGUGGGCAUUUAGGGAGGUCUGGUUGUAGGGGUGUCUAACAUCCUUUCCUUCCACUAAUUCUCUUUUUCAUUUUCUACUUAUGCUUUUAAGGAGGGUUUGAACUACCCUAGUGACUUAAGAUUCUCCAAAAAUUUUGUAAAAGUUACAGUGGGUUAACAUUGGUCACUGUAGUCUACAAAUUUGAGGUUAAGAAUAAAUAGGAUAAACUCUAGGCAAAAAUAACAAAAAUGAGAGUAGAUGGUCAGUUUGUACUACAACUCUCAUUUGGGUGGGGGUUCUGCACUAAAAGUUAUUUUUGCUGGCAUCUACGGGUAAUAACAUGCUUCUGUGCCAAAAAUCACAGAAGGUGACUUAAUGGUUAUUUAGUUGUGAUUUUUUAAGGUUUAAUGCCAAAAAGACACUUAUAACUAACUUGUCAUUUGAAAAAUAUCAAACAACAGAAUUUGUAUGUUUCCUAGAUUCUUAUUAGCAUAAUAGUAGUCAUUCCUAAGGUUGGGGUGGUUCGUCCUUAGGAUUAUUUUUCUAUGAUUUUUCUAAGUUCUCACUAUUUUUAUUAAAUAAAAGGUGGUGCAUUUUCUUUGUACUGGAUUAGGGCUCAACAAAUUUUUCUCAUAAACUUUAUUACCUGAUCUAGCUAGGAAAAAUGUGGUUACCUUCUGGUCCUCAUUUUAAAUCCCUAUUUUUAUUUUUUUAAGGCUUGGGACAAUAUAAGUCUUAAUGGAUAACUUUUCCUUAAUCUAGUAUACUGGGGAGCUUAAUAUUUUUAAACAGUGUAUUUGCUAGAUAAGUAUCCCUCCAAUUUUUUUAGCCCUAGUCUAAAAGUCUAUCUAUUUUUCCUUUGUUUAUUAAGGUUUGGGCAGUAUACUUGUUUAAAUCCAAACUCUAAAAAGCUUUACUAAAACCAUGGUGUUUAUCAAUUUUGCUGGGUAGUUCACAAUAUCUAGGUCCUAGCAAAAUUAGUUUGACAAUUUUUGGUUGAAUAAAACUCAGUGUAUAAAUAUUUCUAGUUCUCUGCUCAUUUAAAAAGAAUAAUUCUUAAAAUUUAAAGGAAAAGGGCUUUGCACCGAGGUCCCUGGGUUGUUUCUUAACUAAACCGUUCAAAUCGUGCCCCUAGGGAACUGUUUAACUGAGUCACUGACUUCGCGAAUAACCCCCUGGCUUUUUCCCUUUCUUAACCCGCGCUCCCUCCUCGCUGGAACAGUAGCCGUAGAGAGGAAAAGCGGUGGCGCGGCUUACCGGCGGUGGGAGAGGUCCGAAGGAGGGUCGGGCGAGGUUCAAGGGCUUCUUGCGGUCACGUCGAGGGGCAGAUCACCGGCGGUGAUGGCCGGAGUAGGGCUGACCACGUGUGUAGGCGGUCGGGCUCGUCGGCGACGCGUGCUCCAGCCUGCUCACGGCGGUAGAGUUCAAUCAAACCACACGGGGAGCUUCACUAGAGGUCAGUGGUGCUGUAGGCACAAGGAAUUGAAGAGUGGCUCACCGUGCAGCUCGGUCUACGUGCGACGGCGGUCGGACGAAGUCCGACGAUGUGGUGCUUCGUCCAAGGGUUUGGGGAGCUUCACUGAGCUCCGGGGAGGCUAGCAAAGGGAUUGGAUGGGGUGGAACAGGGCUAGAGUGGCCGGUCCACGGUGGCCGGGGUUCGGGCGGCCGCUGGCACGCUGGGCGCAGAGCGAGCUCCGGUGAACUUGCGCUUGGGCGGGGCUAACAACGAGCGGGGGUGUACGGUCAAGGCCUUGGUUGGCUUUAUAGGCAUGGGCGCGGGUGUGGGCGCGGCGUCGCACGGCGCGUGGCGCACGUGGGGCCGAGCGUCGGGGCGUGCUCUAGCAUUGCCAGGGUGCGUCGAACACGUGGUCGUUUCUUUCUGCCCGAGUUCUAGCUCUUGCUGAGCAGCCAAACGUGCGAAUCUCGCCAUAAGACUUUUGUGAGAUAUCUUCUCUGCACCUAGGGCUACCUAGUUCAUGUGAGUUCCAAGGGAAGAUCGGGUCUGGUUUGGGAGAUAUGGUGGCGCCAAGUCAGGGUUGUCGAUACUGUUCAAGCCGAGACAAAACUUGUGUGAAACCAUGUCAAACGGUUCUGGUUUGCUUUCUAAUUUUUCAAGGGUGUGCCUUGGGUAAUUUGGCUCCUUUUUGUCAAUUGGACCAUGUGGAUUUGGCGCCAGCAACUAAGUGAACACCUUUGAUCUUUAGAAGAGGGCUGAUUUUUAACUUAGAGAAAAUUUGGUUGCUCUUGAGUGCUCUUCACUUGGGUGCUUAAUUUGGGGUUUUUGUGGGACCUUUUUGGAAUAACUCCCUUACUUUUUCUUGUAGAUAUAUAAAUGUACUUCAACUUUGGUAAAAGGUUUAAGUCAUGAAUUGGUCAUUUGCAUAGUUUUCCCACUAAUCCAAUGCUUGGGUUCUGAUGGCUCAAGAGGGGGGGUCUAGGGUUUGAGCAUCUUUUUCCAAGGUGAAGAUACAUGAAAAGCUAGGGUAUUCCUUCUAUCCUGAUCAUCACUUAAUUAAGCCAUGGUUUCUAAAGUUUUGGUGCCCCUUCUCCCCAAUUAAACACAUGUGAUAAUAGGCCAUAGGUGCAUGUAUUGAGCCAGGGCCUUGGGUAACACCUGGGGUCUUACAACAUCUUUACUAUAUAAUAGGAGUUCUAUACAAAAUAAAUAAAUAAUUACAUCAUACGAAGAGAAUGAUCCAGCAACCAUAGUUGACUUGCAGACGACGGCCUAGACCUCUCAUGAACUCAUCGUGACAUCCUUCAUGCUCCUUAUCUUGUGGUACCUGUUCUUAAUCAGGGGAGAUGUGAGUACAACAAGGGUGAACUCACAUACGUUCAUCGCUCAACAAGUUGUGGGAAAUAAUGUGCAUGAGCUCACUUACGGUGGGGGCUCAUGUGAAGUGUAAGGCUUAACAAAGAAGAUGGUUAAAGCUGUGCGUUGCUUUUAGAGUUGGUCAAAGUUUUAUUAGCAGUUACUAAGUGUAAGUAGAUACCAACUCAAUUAAAUAAGAGAUCACAAUUAAUAAUAAAAACCACAAUGUAAUGCAUAUGACAAAUUAAGUUUAGUUCCAAAGAUUACUCAUGUGAGGGUCCGAGCCGCUCAUGACUGUGAGCACGGCUGAUAUACCAGUUUUACACUCUGCAGAGGUUGCACAUCUUUACCCACAAGUCGUGUUACCCGUUUGUCAAGGGAUCGUGACUUCCUAUUCAUCACUACCGAGGAGAUGAGGCAGGGUAGCACUACGAGGCCUUUACAAAGUUCCACUAGCUUUAGAAAACCCGCUACAGUUUCUGAGAAGGACAAUAUAGGAAUCCCUCGUCCGAAAAGCCAUCGCAACAUGAUCGACCCGAGGACCUCCCUAUACCGUAGCUCCUCUACCGCCCUUGCCCCUUUCGGGUAAGGUACUCCUCCACUAGCUUUCCUAAUUAGUCAACCAAUUGUGUCCCAUACCACCGUUGUGGUAGCACUAUUUUCCGAGUGGUCACUCCAUGUUCCAAUUAACACAAUGAUCUUGUCAUGAACAAUAUUAAACCAUCAACAAUAGUGAAACAUAAUCAUAAUUCAAUAUAUCAUUAAUCCCAAAGCUAGGUAGAGCAAUAGCGAUACUACCCAAUAGUUCAUUUGUUUGCAAGGUGUAGGAUAAACAAUACUAGGGAAACCUAUUAGGUCCCAUAAAAUUAACCUAAGCAUGUCACUGUGAUUAACAGGAACAUUAUUAGGUAAAGAAGAGUGAUCAAGGGAACAACUUGCCUUAGAAUUGAGAUUCCAGGUACUUCACCAAAUUGGUCGUUGGGUGACUUGUGACCUCACUGCUACUCAUAGCAAUACAUACAGAUAGACAAGGAGUACAUAAACAAAAUAGUACACCAAACAUGAGAACAAAUGGUGUAAGAAUAUUCUACAUGCUGCUACGAGGUCAUAGGUUCAAGAACCACUAAAAUUGGAGCCCCCGGUUGAAAGGAUAUGGUUGUUUUCUGAAGUUUUAGGUGAUUAACUAUGAAAACCAUGCCUAUAUGUUGCUUAAUUUAAAUCAUGUGAUAAAAUAUAACUAAGUUUAUUCCACUUUUAAUCUAUGCCAACUCAUAUUUUAGCCCAAUUAUAGAUGAUCCAAAUUAAAAUACUAUACCAACUUGGAUUAAACAAGUUAAUCCAAUAAGCAUAGGUUAAACGAAUUGGUUAUUUCUUUUUGAGCACAUGUUGCAUGCUAAAAUAUUGUUACAAAAGCGUAGGUAAUAUUAUUACGAAGCUAGUGCAACUUGAAUGGACUAAAACAGAGUUUAAAUGAGAAACUUGUAGAUUAAACCAGUUGUGGGGCUACUUUUAUAAUAAAAUAAGGCUCCCGAGGUCUAAAAUGUAACUUCUAGAGACCCUGAAGAAAUACCUGUGCGUUAUGGUUCGAUAGUGGGUUAAUUUCAAGAAACCCGAGGGUCUCAUCCAUAAAGUGACGAAGCCGAAGGGGUAUUGAUGUGUCUUGGCCGUUGGAUCCAAAAUCGAGGGCCUGGAUUAGAUUAAUCUUUAAGUGUACCGGUACAUGAUAUGGACCGUCAGAUCUCAAUCUAAUGCUCCAAAUUUAAAACACCGUGAUCUUCUCUCGACCCUAUAUCUGUCGAUCUACAACUGUGAUUAAAUCACGAAAGGGUACAUGAAGUCCUUUAAUCUGGACCAUUCGAGGAUGAAUCAACGGCCACACUCAUGUCUUCUUCCUCCCGACCGCGUGACACGACAGCGCCCAUAGCCCGUGCGGCGGCUUCCACCGGCGAACAGCGUGCCCGGUGCCCCGGAGCCCUAUUUUUCCCACCGGAAGCGAGCUACAUGUAAAGAAUACGGAGGUGGACACAACUGUAGGUUCCUUACCUAGGUUUGGCAUGCCAGGGUACGCAGUCGAUGGAGGGAAGCGACUAGGUGGCCGAUUUCCAAGUCCGACGAGAAAUCGCCAUUCCAUUAGGGCCUCCCGCGGACUAGCAACCCUGCCAAUGUGAGCUCCGCAUAGGGGCGAACCUAUGAGACCCGUCAGCAAAAGCUCGACAGUGGUGUCUGCCCGAGUCCGUGGUACAACGCGGCUCAGCGACGGGGACAGAGACCGGCAAGCGAUUGGUGCAGCUCCGGUCACCAACCUCUCAUGCCAUCACCCGAAUCACGAUCCAGAACCCUAGGUGACCUUCUCUGCCCUUCUUCCAAGUCCUCGCCAUCGGUGCCUUGACUGAUUUCACGGUGGCGACAAUCCUCUCCCUUCUAGAUUCGCUCACGAUCGAGCCCUCGGUGAUUUUCUGGUGAUGGGCAGAGGCGGCGGCCAUUUAUAAAGCCAAAGAUGGAGGUUGCGCGCGGAGCAGUUGACUGCCACCGGCGAGAAUCUAGGUUGCAUUCUGUUGCUACCACACGUGGAGCUCAUACACGGAGCCACGACGCGGAGGAGAUUGGUCUGACUAUCGGCCCCAUGAGUCAGCAAGAGGGAUUCGGCUCUACGCAGAGUGUCCACACACCAGUGGCUGCGCGCGCGGGCAGGCCUCGGGCCGAGCGAGCCCGCAUGUUGGCACCCAUUGCUUGAUCUCGACUGACGUUGUGAAGUGGGCCUGCGGGAGAGGUUUUCAGAUUGAGCCGGAUGUGAGGAAUUCGCCCCACGAGCUGGUUUGUCUUUUUUCUUUUUAUAUUUUCUAUUUCCUGGUUUUAGUUUAAUUCUUAGAGUUCAAAUUCAGAUUUAAAUUCAAACAAGUUCCAAAUGCACUAUCAAAACUUCAAUAUGAAUGCAACAAUAUUUUAUUGAUUUAUUUAUUUCUUAUCCUAUUUAAGCAAAUGCUUCUAUGCAAUUCACGCAUAAAUAGUUUAUUUUGGAGAAAAUAAUUUUAUAUUGUAUUGUUCCUAUAAAGAUAUGAUUUAACUUAAUUCCUUUUAAAAGGUUCUUAUAAAUCAAUUAAAAUAUAAUAUAUGUAUAUUUAAAAGAAAGAUUAACUAAAAUCAUGCAUGCAUGCUUUUGUGAUGUCUUUAUUAAAAAUCCCUUUCUGCUUUAGGAGGUGUAGCUUCAAAAAUACUAUUACUGGACUCUUUGAUUGUCUUAUUCAUUGAUUUUUUUAAAUCCCAAAUUAGAAUUUUAGGUGUUACAAAUUCUACCCCCUUAAAAAUAAUCUCGUCCUCGAGAUUAGUAAGAAAAGGGAUGUAGAUAGUUUGGUUUGUAGUUUAGCUUUUGUUUGGUUUCAAUACCAAAAGAUUUUUUUGGUUCAAGUCUUUAACACAAAUUAGCAUGUGAUUAGGAAAGCAGGGGUAUCUAGCCACCUAAUAUGUAGGAUAAAAGAUGUCUUUAAAGCAUAGAUAGGUUUGGGUAAGAAAGAGUAGGGCAAGGAAAGACUCCAUUCUAGAUUGCGGAUCUUGCUUCCUUUGGGGCUCUGGCUUGACUCCUAUUCUUCCUUAACGAGGUUGAUCUCCUUCUUCUUGAGUCUUGGUGUCUUCAUCCGGGUUAGGGACAAGAGGUUAAGAUAGAUUUGUAUGUAACAACUUAGUAGGUAGAGCAGCUGGUUUAGUAGGUAGCUAUAAGUUAAAUGAGAUUAGUCAUAAUCUAGUUUGGUUGUUUGUUUUUAGAUUUGUUGGAUAAGUUAUGUAACCUGUUAUGUAGGUCAAGUUGUUGUUCAUGUUCGAGUUGGUUUAAGGCACCAAUUUAGGUUAAAACAUGUUUGUAGGAGUAGGGUCUACACUAUUUCACUAGUGUCAACUAUCCUAUUUAUGUAACUCACUCUAGAUUAAAUCAUAUCUGAUUAGAUGGGAUCUAGAUUAGGUUGGUAUGAUUAGUUUAUACUAGAUGAGAUCUAAUUAAUUUAGAUUAGGUCAUGGUUGUUACUCUCGGAUGAGAUAAGCAAAGUUGUUAGGAUAACAUGGAAGGAUAGAUAGAAUCUUUUUUAAGGUAAGAUAGGGUCUAUAAGAUAGAUCUAUUUGUUUUUUUAUAUGGGGGAUAAUCUAUCUUUCAAAAUAUAUUUUUAUGACUAUAUGUAUUUAAAUGCAACGUGGAUAUUACUCCACAACCCAUCACACCCAAUAAAAGAACCAAAUCAGACAAGUAUCAUAAGAACAAACAUUCAAGCGUAGAUAUACCUAUAAAAAUAGUUUUUUCCUAUGAUUAGGUGUCCUAUUCCAAAGGGUCACUUUAGGUAUAGGAUUUCAAAUUUUGAAAUCCAUUUUUGUCUUUAGAAGAGAAAAGGUAAGAGCAAUCAGAGUAAAGUAGCAAUAGAUGAGAAAAUAUUAAAGAAAGUUUAGAAAGAAUCGAAGUAGCAAAGGUAAGUAGGUAAGGGUUUUAACUAGUUCUAUCUAGGUUACGUCCUACAGUCAACAUUCCUCUGAUACCAUUUCUGUCUCAAUCGGAUUUAAGGGCAAACUUGAGAGUGAAUCAAAUGUGUGCUAGGAUCAAGUCUCGCACAUAUCAUCGACUCAUGGUACAGAAACAAAUGUCACAUCUUUACUAUAUAAUAGGAGUUCUGUACAAAAUAAAUAAACAAUUACAUCAUAUGAAGACAAUGAUCCAGCAACCAUAGUUGACUGGAAGACGACGUCCUAGACCUCUUACGAACUCAUUGCGGCAUCCUUUAUGCUCCUUACCUUGUGGUACCUGUUCUUGACCUAGGGGACGUCAGUACAGCAAGGGUGAGCUCACAUACAUUCAUCGCUCAACAAGUUAUGGGGAAUGAUGUGCAUGAGCUCACUUACGGUGGGAGCUCAGGUGAAGUGUAAGGCUUACCAAAGAAGAUGGUUAAAGCUGAGCGUUGCUUUUAGAGUUGGUCAGAAUUUUAUUAGCAGAUACUAAGUGUAAGUAGAUACCAACCCAAUUAAAUAAGAGAUCGCAAUUAAUAAUAAAACCCACAAUGCAAUGCAUAUGACAAAUUAAGUUUAGUUCCAUAGAUUACUCAUGUGAGGGUCCAAGCCGCUCAUGACCAUGAGCACGGCUGAUAUACCAGUUUUACACUCUGGAGAGGUUGCACAUCUUUACCCACAAGUUGUGUGACCCGUUUGCCAAGGGAUCCCGAGUUCUCAUUCAUCUCUACCGAGGAGACGAGGCAGGGUAGCACUAUGAAGCAUUUACAAAGUUCUACUAGCUUCAGAAAAACCGCUAUGGUUUCUAAGAAGGGAAAUAUAGGAAUUCCUCAUCCGAAAAGCCAUCGUAGCAUCAUCGACCCGAGAACCUCCCUAUACCGUAGGUCCUCUACUGCCCUUGCCCCUUUUGGGUAUGGUAGUCCUCCACUAGCUUUCCUACUUAGUCAGCCAAGGGCGUCCCAUACCACCCUAGUGGUAGCACUGUUUUCCCGGGUGGUCGCUUCAUGUUCCAAUUAACACAAUGAUCUUGUCAUGAACAAUAAUAAACCAGCAACUAUAGUGAAACUUAAUCAUAGAUCAAUAUUUUAUUAAUCCCAAAGCCAGGUAGGGCAAUAGCAAUACUACCCAAUAGUUCAUUUGUUUGCAAGUUGUAGGAUAAACAAUACUAGGGAAACCUAUUAGGUCCCAUCAAAUUAACCUGAGCAUGUCACAGUGAUUAACAGGAACAUUAUUAGGUAAAGAAGAGUUGUCAAGGGCACAACUUGCCUUAGACUUGAGAUUCCAGGUACUUCACCAAAUUGGUCUUCGGUUGACUCGUGACCUCACUGCUACUCAUAGCAAUACAUACAGAUAGACAAAUAGUACAUAAACAAAAUAGUACACGAAACAUGAGAACAAACAAUGUAUGAAUAUUCUACGCGCUGCUACGAGGUCGUAGGUUCGAGAACCACUAAAAUUGGAGCCACGGUUGAAAGGAUAUGGUUUUUUUCUGAAGUUUUAGGUGAUUAAAUAUGAAAACCAUGCCUCUCUGUUGCUUAAUAUAAAUCAUGUGAUAAAAUAUAACUAAGUUUAUUCCACUUUUAAUCUAGGCCAAAUCAUAUUUUAGCCCAAUUAUAGAUGAUCCAAUUUAAAAUACUAUACCAACUUGGAUUAAACAAGUUAAUCCAAUAAGCAUAGGUUAAACGAAUUAGUUAUUUAUUUUUGAGCACAUGGUGCAUUCUAAAAUAAUGUUACAAAAGCGUAGGUAAUAUUAUUACGAAGCUAAUGCAACUUGAAUGUACUAAAACGAAGUUUAAAUGAUAAAGUUAUAAAUUAAACAAGUUGUGGGGCUAUUUUUAUACUAAAAUAAGGCUCCUGAGGACUCAAAUGUAAAUUUCAGAGACCCUGAAGAAAUACCUACGCGUUAUGGUUGGAUAGCGGGUUAAUUUCAAGAAACCCGAGGGUCUCAUCCAUAAAGUGACAAAGCCGAAGGGGUAUUGGUGUGUCAUGGUCGUUGAAUCCAAAAUCGAGGGCCCGGAUUAGAUUUAUAUUUAUGUGAACAUGUACAUGAUAUGGACCGUUAGAUCUCAAUCUAAUGCUCCAAAUUUAAAACAUCGUGACCUUCUCUCGACCCUACAUCUACCGAUCUACGACUGUGAUUCAAUCACGAUAGGGUACAUGACGUCCUUUAAUCUGGAUCGUUCAACGAUGAAUCAACGGACACACCCGUGUCGACGGAGGAAAGUGGCUGGGUGGCCGAUUUCCAAAUCCGACGAGAAAUCGCAAUUCCAUCAGGGCCUCCCGCGGACUAGCAACCCUCCCAACGUGAGCUCUAGAUAGGGGCGAACCUCCGAGACCCGUCAGCAAAGGCCCGACGUAGGUGUCUGCCCAAGUCCGCGGCACAAUGCGGCUCCGCGACAGGGACAGAGCCUAGCGAGCGAUUGGUGCAGCGCCGAGCACCAACCUCUCAUGCCAUCACCCCAAUCACAAUCUAGAAUCCCAGGCGGCCUUUUCUGCCCUUUUUCCAAGACCUCGCUGUCGGUGCCUGACUGAUUUCACAUGGAGGCAAUCCUCUCCCUUUCUUCUCGAUUCACUCAGGAUGAAGCCCUUGGUGAUUUUCUGGAGAUGGGCAGAGGCGGUGACCGUAUAUAAAGCCAGAGAUAGAGGUUGCGCGGGGAGCGGUUGACUGCCCCCGGCGAGAAUCUCAACCGGAUUCUGUUGUCGUCGCGCGCGGAGCUCGUACACGGAGUCAUGACGCGAAGGAGAUUGGUAUGACUGUCGGCCCCACGAGUCAGCGAGAGGGAUUUAGCUCUACGCAAAAGGUCCACACACCAGUGGCUGCGCGCGCAGUCAGGCCGCUGAGUGAGAGGGCCCUCGUGUCGGCACCCGUUGUUUGAUGCCGGCUGACAUCGUGAAGUGGGCCGGCGGGAGAGGUUUUAGACUGGGCUAGAUGUGAGGAAUUCGGCCCAUGAGCAGGUUUGUCUUUUUUUUCUUUUUAUAUUUUACAUUUCCUGGUUUUAGUUUAAUUCUAAGAGUUCAAAUUCAGAUUUAAAUUCAAACAAGUUCCAAAUGCACAAUCGAAACUCCAAUAUGAAUGCAUCAAUAUUUUAUUAAUCCAUUUAUUUAUUAUCCUAUUAAAGCAAAUGCUUCUAGCUAUGCAAUUCACGCAUAAAUAGUUUAUUUUGAAGAAAUAAUAUUUCUAUUGUAUUGUUCCUAUAAAGAUAUGAUUUAACUUAAUCCCUUUUAAAAGGUUCUUAUAAAUCAAUAAAUAUAUAGUAUAUGUAUAUUUAAAAGAAAGAUUAACUAAAAUCAUGCAUGCAUACUUUUGUGGGUCUUUAUUAAAAAUUCUUUUUUGCUUUGGGAGAUAUAGCUUCAAAAUAUUAUUAAUAGACUCUUUGAUUGUCUUAUUCAUUGAUUUUUUUAAAUCCUGAAGUAUAAUUUCAGGUGUUACACUUGUCAAACUACUAAUACAUUUGAUGUACUGAUCUAUGACAUGUGCCUUUUUGUGUGAGACCAAUGUUUUUGUGGAUAGGGAUGUCGAUUAUAUGUGGUUUGAUAUAUUUUGUGACAUGGAUUGAAAAUAUACAUGUGAUUGUCGGCUAUCGUGUCGUUGAUAUAUAUGUGCAUGUCAGGCAUCGUGCUGUUAGUUUUAUUUGAAGGUUUUGGAAACCUCACCGUGCAGGGGAGGUGCCUGCGAAUUUUUGUGUUGACAGUCUUGUGUUUCUUUUUUUGCAGAGGUCUUCCUAGUUGUUGCGGGUUUGCAUGCACCGUGUCUCGUCGUCACCGCACCAACCCGCCAUAACCCCGCUAGCCUGACUCCACCGCCACCCUAGGUAUAACCUCUAUUUUUGUGUCAUGAUCGUAGAUCACGUAACUGAGAGCACCUAGUGGGGGGCGAAUAGGUGAUCCAACGAAAUGACUUAAAACAACAUAAACUUGGUUAAAAAUAAACUUAGAGUAAACCAAAACCAAGUUUGAGAGAAGAGAUGAGAGAAAAAGUCCUCUUCGCUUGAUUGCUCUUCCAAGAUAUGAAUUAUACUAAGAGAAAUAUCAGAAGUGAAAUAGAGAACUUGGGAAGAAAGAAAAUCGCAAUAAAGGAAAAGGACAAGAGAGACUGCGAUUUUUAUCUCGUGAUUCGGCCAAGCCUACAUCCACAUUGGGAUGUCCUUCUUUGGACAAUGGUAGCAUUCAACCCCUAUCAAGUGAUCACAUAGAUCAAACUUGAGUGUCACGGUUCUUCCUUCACAAGUAUUCCCGUUCACCAUUAAUCAUCACAACUUGGAGUCUCUUGUAGCCAUACAAAAGAUAGAAGUUACAACUUAGAGUAAGGUAGGGAGAGAAAGUACAGAUACAAGAGCAAAUCGGAGCAACACACACAGGAGAGAAGAUCAUGAGUGCACACAUUCACCAAGACAAGAGAACAGUUCAAAAAUAUCACUCGGAUCUCACUAAAUCACUAGAACGCUUUGUUGUAGAGAGUCGGAGUGUUGGUGCGCUCUUGGAGUACUUGGGUGUAGAAUGGAGGCGCCUAGAGGCUCUAUUUAUAGCCCUAAGAGGCCUAGAGGCCCUUGCCUCAUUCCUUAAAAAUUGUAGAUCUGGGCAGUUGUAAAGCCUAAAAUUGGUAGAAAAAAUAUAUAAUAAAAUAAAAAUACCUAUGAUAUUGUUUCUAGAAUUUUUUUAAAAACCUUUGGAAUUAGUAGGACAUUCCUUCUUCAUAAUCAAUUAAAGAUAUUAAAAUAGUCAUAUGAAAGAGGGGGCAUCUCAUACUUAUGAAUUUGUGGUGAUGCAUUUUAUUUGAAUAAAGAAAUCAUAACUUAAAUUGACCUCAAAUUAUAAAGGAAAAGAUAAAAACAGAAAAUGAGAAAGGAAAUUUUAUUGAAGUCGUUAGUCCUUUCAUAAAUAAAUAAUAGGGAAAAGAAUAAAUAAUAAUAUUAUAAAUAGUAGAAUCUAUAUUCACAUUUGAUUUAUAUUUGAGAAUGGGAAUUUGAAAUUCAAAACAGAAAGUUGAAACAUGUUUGAAUUUGGAAUAGGAAUUUGAAAAUUUGCAAGAAAUAAAAAAGGAAAAGAGAAAGAAGAAAAACCUCUGUUGGGCUAGUUUUCCUCUCUCCGGCUCAAUACCAUCUCUACUUCCGCACAGCCCAAUUAUGGGUUUUGGCACUGACGUGCGGGCCCCACGUCAUAGCCCACACCUCCUGUCCACGUCCUGGCCGUGUUGCGCCGACAUGUGGGCCGCGAUCGUCAGUCACGCGCUUGUCACUUUCAUGUGGGCGCCGCCGCACAUCUAGCCGCUCUCGUUUGUGGUCCAGUCACUAGCGUGUGGCCCCACCUCGAGGCCGCUCCCGCAUUUGCACUAACAGCAUGGGCCCGCGGAUCUGCGGCUCGCUAUCACCGCGCGCACCCUCGCAUCCCUCUGCCGCGUGGGCCCCUUGCUCUAUUGCUCUUCUCCGUGGGAUGCGAAGCUGCUCCACACCGAAUGCUAUAGAAUUGGCUCGGUGACCGAAGGCCGCCUGGGCCGCGUACCCGUCCGCCUAUAAAACCUACCGGUCAUCUAGGGACCGUCCUCAUCGACCCAGACGCCGUUGGGUGUAGAAAUUUGCACCACUGGGUGAAGAAGCAGACCGCCUAGCGCUGUCGCAGUAGUGCUUCGCAUGCAAUGCUGUUCUAGUUAGGGUGGGCGACAUUGGUGCUUCGUUGUUAAAGGUGUCGGCUAGGUGGGGCAUCUACAAGCGAAGGUUCGGCCGGUUUUGGCCGGAAUUGCUCGUCGGCGUACAAAAUCCGCCGCCUACCUCUCCCCAUCGUGGUCGGUGUUCUCGGCCACUCGGGACUCCUGGUAAGGCCCUCGAUUGAAUUCGUCGCUUCCCCAAUCUCCGAUUAGCACCGUUUCGACUCAGGAUUAGGGCACUGGGCCGUAGACGGUAGGGCUCUGGUGGUUUCGGCACGGUGGAUGUGGGCGGUGCCGCGCGCGGCCUAACCAUGGUGUGGUCCACCGUUGAUUGGCCACGCAACGAUUGUAAUUAGAUCGUCAUGCCCUUUCAGCUGGGGGAAGAUCUGGGCCGUGCGUCUUGGAUCGUGCGUGUAAGAACGGAUCGGGAUCAUUUUAAAUCUGGACCGUGGAUGGUCAAUCCAACGGAACCCUGUGCAUACCGGUUCGGGCGGGGGAAAGAUUUAAUAUGAGCCCUUGGAUCUUGAUCGGGUGGCUCAUAUAAACUCAUACCCCUUCACCAUACUCUUUUUGCUAAUAAGUCCCCGGGGAAUCCUGAAACUAACCCGCCAUCCUCGCCUAGUCAAAGAUUGUCACCAACCGGUCCUGAAUUUUAUAAGGAGAACCCGGAGCCCUCGGGUUUUUGUUUUCUCAGUCCGAACUCUAUUAGAUUUCAUAAAUAAAUCCUAGAAAUUGAUUUUUAAGUAUAAAAUCGAUCCAGAAAAAUUAGAAAUUCCACAGUUAAUUCAUUUCUACUCCGAUUUGAUCCGUCCCAGUUGUGUUAGCCUCGUAAUAAAAUUUCCUACGCAGUAGCAACACUAUUUGUACUGUAUCACAUACUUUUAUAAUUAAAUAUUUGUUUACCCGUUUAGUAGUAGAUUUAUUUUACUAAUUAGGGUUGACAUGCCUAUAAUUAUAGUUUGACUAUAAUAUGAUUUCUAAAACAAGUUAUAAUCUGGAUUAAAGUUAAAUUAAUUACUUAAAGUAUAUUUUCUUAUAUGAUGUAUAUUAACCAAUUUAUAAUAUAGUUUAAUAUUUAAUCACGCAAAUCUUCAGAAGAUCAUAACUCUUUAACCGUAAUUCUGAUUCUAGUAAUUCUCGAACCCACAAUCUCGUAGCGAUGCGUAGAUUAUUAUUACGCAGUUUUUUCUUAUGUUUGGUGUGAUGUUAAUUUUGCCUAUGCCAUGUUUGUUUGUAUUGGUACGAAUAGCAGUGAGGUCAUGAGCAUCUGAAGAUCAUCCUAGUACCUAGAAUCUCGAGUCUCACGCAAGUUGUGCCCUUGAUCACUCCUUUUUACCUAAUAAUGUUCAUAUUUAAUCACUGUGACAUGCUCAGGUUAAUUUGAUGGGACCCAAUAGGUUUCCCUAGCAUUGUUUAUCCCUUACCUUGCAAGCACAUGAAUUAUUGGGUAGUUUUGCUAUUGCUCUACUUGGAUUUGGGAGUCUAAUGUUUCACUAUGAUUAUUUUCCAAUUAUGUUGUUGUUUAAUUAUUGUUCAUGAUAAGAUCAUUAUGUUAAUUGGAACAUGGAGCGACCACUCGGGAAAACAGUGCUACCACAAGGGUGGUAUGGGAUGCCCUUGGCUGACUAAUUAGAAAAGCUAGUGGAGGACUACCUUACCCGAAAGGGGCAAGGGCAGUAGGGGAGUGGUAAGUGUAGGGAGGUCCUUUGGUUGAUUUUGCUGCGAUGGCGGUCAGGUGAGGGAUCCUUGCAUUGGAUCUUCCUAGAAAAUGUAGCGGGUUUUGUGAAGCUAGUGGAACUUUGUAAAGGCCUCGUAGUGUUACCCUACCUCGCUUCCUUGGUAGAGGUGUAUGGGAUUCAUGACCCCUUAGCAGAUGGGUAACAUGACUUGUGGGUAAAGAUGCGCAACCUCUACAGAGUGUAAAACUGAUAUAUCAGUCAUGCUCACGGUCAUGAACAGCUCGGACCGUCACAUGAUUAACUUAUGGAAUUAAAUUCAAUUUGCCAUAUGCAUUGCAUUGCUGGUGUUGUUAUCAAUUUUGAUUUAUUACUUAUUUGGGUUGGUAUCUACUUACACUUAGUAACUGCUAAUAAAAUUUUGACCAGCUUUAAAAGCAAUACUUAGCUUCAAACAUCGUCUUUGGUAAGCCUUACACUUCACCUGAGCUCCCACCUUUGGCGAGUUCAUGCAAAUUAUUCCCGACAACUUGUUAAGCGAUGAACGUAUGUGAGCUCACCCUUGUUGUCUCACACCCCCCCAUAGGUCAAGAACAGGUACUGCACGAUGAGGCGCAUGGAGGAUGCUGUGGUGAGUUCGUGAGUGGUCUAGGUCGUCGUCUCCCAGUCAAUUUUGGGUUGCUGGAUCGUUGUCUUCAUAUGAUGUAAUUAUUUAUUUAUUUAUUUUAUACAGAACUCCUAUUAUAUAGUAAAGAUGUGGCAUUUAUUUCUGUACUAUGAGUCAUCAUAUGUGUGAGACUUGGUCCCAGCACACUUGGUGAUUAUUUUGCUCCCGGGUCUCGGUGCCCCUGAAAUCCGAGUGUGACAAUAGUCUGUGGAUGCACUAGACCGGGUCUAUGGGCCCCCAGUCCGAGAUCUGAUUAGCGCCCUUCCUUAGCUGGGUGGCACCAGACCGGUCCAGCGCACCACUGGACCGUUCGGUGACGUCAGCUAGCCGUUGGUCGCCUGAGGUAGCCAUUGGAGAAGUGGUUCGGUGCACACCGGACCGGUCUGUUCAAUUUUAGAAUUAAAAUUCCCAACCGAGAGCAGUACGACUGGUCGCAUAGACCUGGUUUGGUGCAACCCAGACCGGUGCAAGUUGGGCUCUUUUGAGCAAAACUCCUCCAAGUCUUUUUGGCUGUCUUGGGGGUUUCCUACGACUUAGAUAAGCAUUAUUAGUACUUAAUCCAAUGGACUAAGUGAGGGAAACAUACCUUUCUCACAUAGUUUCUCCAAGAUUUGCAAUAUGGCUCAAUACAAGUCCAAAAGGCAUUUUUCUUGCAGAAAUGGGUUAGUAGCCAAACCACAGUGUUAGAAACAUCGAAUAGGGUAUGUGCAACUUAUUCAAAUACAUAAACAUCAUGUUUAUGUUGUUUUGCCCAACUUUGCAGUUUUGGCCUCCAGAUAUGUUCAUUUGGACUUAGUGCCUUCAAUUUUCAUUUACUUGAACCUGUGCUCAUUCCCAAAUCAAAUUGGUUAGUCGAAUGUGGUGUGUUGGAUGCUUAAUCACCAAAACAGGUAGAAAUGCCCCUAUGGCACAUUUCCCAUUCAAUCUCCCCCUUUUUGGUGAUUUAUGCCAACACACCUAAAGCAACUCAAAUCUGACUAACUUAACCAAAAAUGAGGCAAAGUUCGAAAAUUGAAGAUCAAACUCAUACUAAAGGACGAUUCGAAUGAUUUGGCAUAUUUUGAUCCUUUAGCCACCACUUGUUUCGAAUUUUGCAAUCAAAGCAGUUUUUUCUAACUUCUAUGUCAACAACUCUUUGUUUUGCAAAACAAAUCAUUUUAAAACUCUUGUUUUGAUCAAAUACCCCAAACUCCCCCUUUUCUCAUAAGAUAACUUCUACCACAUAAGAGAACAAAUUUUUGCAAUAAGAGGGCACCUCUUUGAUAUCAAGAGGGUUUUGAUCAAAAAUACAAGUUUAAAAGCUCAAAACUUUUUAAUAUUCUAAGCACCAAAACGAAGAAACUAGUGUCCUAACCUGAUUCCCUCACCAAAAAUAGCAAAUGAAGAGCAAAGGCAAUGAAAUUCCACGGCAAUCUGGAAUAAAGUACAUUGAUACUGUUUAUGCAGUGGAAGCUUCUUUUUUUGUCCAAAUCCACCUUUUCCCUUGCAAUCCUCCUUUGAGACUACAUCAACUCAACUUAAACAAAAGUAAUCUCAAAGGGUCAACUUGUAGCAUGUCCUCCCCUUCAACAAAUGCAUCAAUGCACAAGGACUUCUAAAGUCCGAGGAUGACAUUCUACAACCUGAGCACCAAUAUAAGCAUAGGAAAAUAAUAUGUGAAUUGACUCUAACCUAGCUAUAGUAGCAAAAGUCUCCUCAAAGUUCAAACAAGCGACUUGGGUAUAACCUUUUGCCACAAGUCAAGCCUUAUUCCUUAUCACUAGCCCAUAUUCAUCUUGUUUGUUGCGAAACACACAGUUGGUUCCCACAACAUUUUGCUUUAGAUGUGGCUCCAAGCUCCAGACUUCAUUUCUCAUUAAGUUGGUGAGGUCUUCCUGCAUGGCCAUCACCCAGUCUGGAUCCUUCAAAACUUCUUAUAUCUUGAGAGGUUCAGUAGAGGAAACAAACAAGUAAUGCUCACAAAAAUUAGUGACACGAGAUCAAGUGGUUACUUCUUCGUCUAUAUCCCCUAGAAUCCAAUCCACCGGAUGAUCGCAUUGUAUGGUGGCGCGGACUUGAGGCGGAGGUGCCUGUGGAACAUGACUUAGUGAAAAGAGUGGGAUCACCUCUCUAGACCUUGAAAUCGUUUGAAAUGAGAAAAUCUCUAAGGCAUUCAUACCAUGUUCAUGGGGCUCGCUUAAUCCCAUAGAACACCUUAGAGAGUUUGUACACAUGGUUGGGAUACCUGUCAUCCUCGAAGCCAGGUGGUUGCUCUACAUAGACUUCCUCCCUUGAUCAGUCAAUUGAGGAAGGCGCUCUUCACAUCCAUUCGAAAAAGCUUAAAGGAAUGGUGAGAAGCAUAGGCCAAUAAUAUGCAAAUUGACUCUAAUCUAGCUACAAGAGCAAAAGUCUCCUCAAAGCCCAAACCUACGACUUGGGUAUAACCUUUUGCCACGAUUCAAGCCUUGUUCCUUGUCACCAUCACGUAUUCAUCUUGUUUGUUGCGAAACACUCACUUGGUUCCCACAAUGUUUUGCUUUAGACGUGGCACCAAGCUCUAGACUUCAUUUCACUUUAAGUUGUUGAGCUCUUCCUGCAUGGCCAUCACCCAUCUGGAUCCUUCAAAACUUCUUCUACCGUGAGAGGUUCAAUAGAGGAAACAAACAAGUAAUGCUCACAAAAAUUAGCAACACGAGAUAGAAUGGUUACUCCCUUCUUUAUAUCCCCUAGAAUCUCAUCCACCGGAUGAUCACGUUGUAUGGUGGCACGGACUUGGGGUGGAGGUGCCUGUGGAACAUGUCUUAGUGAAAAGAGUGGGAUCAGCUUUCCUGACCUUGAAAUCAUUUGAAAUGAUAAAACCUCUAACACAUUCAUACCAUGCUCGUGGGGCUUGCUUAAGCCCAUAAUGCACCUUGGAGAGUUUGUACACAUGGUCAGGAUACCUGUCAUCCUCGAAGCUAGGCUAUUGCUCCACGUAGACUUCCUCCCUUGAUCGGUCGAUUGAGGAAGGUGCUCUUCACGUCCAUUUGAAAAAUCUUAAAGGAAACGUUAGUAGCAUAGCCCAAUAACAUGUGAAUUGACUCUAACCUAGCUACAGGAGCAAACGUCUCCUCAAAUUCCAAACCUACGACUUGGGUAUAACCUUUUUCUACAACUCAAGCCUUGUUCUUUAUCACCACCCCAUAUUCAUCUUAUUUGUUGCAGAACACCACUUGGUUCCCACAACGUUUUGCUUUGGACGUGGCACCAAGCUCUAGACUUCAUUUCUAUUUAAGAUGUUGAGCCCUUCAUGCAUGGCCAUCGCUCAGUCUCGAUCCUUCAAAACUUCAACCUCGAGCGGUUCAUUAGAGGAAACAAACAAGUAAUGCUCACAAAAAUUAGUAACAUCUUCUUCCUAAAAUCUGAUCCACCUGAUGGUCUCGUUGUAUGGUGGUGCGGACUUAGGGCGGAGGUGCCUAUGGAACUUCUUCUUCCUCCUUGUCUUUUCUUCAAGCGUCCCCUUGAUCAAUGUCGUCAUCUUGAGAUACCUGUUCCUCACCUUGAAUAAGGGGUUGCACCAUUGUUGAGGAAGAUAGUUGAUCUUGUUCUUAUGGUUCCUAUGAUCGCACAUCUUCAAUCGCCAUAGUUCUUAGUGCAGCCGUCGGAAUCACAUUCUCAUCUACAUCAUCAAUAUCAACUUGCUCUCUUAGAGAGCCAUUAGUCUCAAAAAAAGUCGUGCAAAAUUCGCAGCUACGUCGCUGGUGGGAAUCAAUCCCCUGGCCUCAACCUCGCGCGUAGACCCCUCUAACACUCCACCUAUUACUUACUACAUGUCUAUUGCAGUUUUGUUGUCCACAUAUUAGAACAAUCUGAGUAAAAAUUGACUAUUUUAGGUUUUAAACAAAUUCAAACGAAAAAGUUGACAACUACAAAGUUUCAUCACUUUUGAAGUUCUACAACUUCUAUUUUUGAACUUUUUCCAUACGAGGUCAUUUGCAAUAUUUGCAUCUUAAAUUUGACAAAUUUGGAUGCGAUUUUUGAGAACCGAAAUAAUUUCAACUUUAAAAGUUGUCAAAUACAAGGUUUCAUAGCUUUUAGAGAUAUACAACUUUUAUGUUGGUUGUUUUUUCAUACGAGGUCAUUUGAAAAACUAAAAAAAUUAGGAUAAAUUUAUUUUUAUUGGAGGUUUUCUUAAGAAAAUCGGCUAAAGAAAUCAUGGAUUUCUAGUGGUAGUUUUCUUAAGAAGUCACCACUAAAAAUACCACUAGCGCUUGAUAACCAAAACCGUCUAUAAAACUUAAACCCCAGCGCAGGUUUAGAGUUCUUUUCUAUUAGUGUUAGGUAAUUUGUGGAUUCAUACAAUACGUGUUGUAUGUGGUUGUUUUAUAUAUGUGUCUAGAUUUAUCAUUAUCUAUUUGAAUAUAGACAUAAAAAUUAAGAGCCAAAACAAAAACUAUUUCGGGAUAGAUGGAGUAAUAUCUAGAUGUAGUACAACACGUCUAUUAAAGAGAAAAUUUUCUUUAUUUUAGCUGAAGGAAACAUAGCACAAUAUGCAACAGAUGGCAACAUAUGUAUUUUCCAACAAUGCCUGAGAACAACAACUAUAGGAUGGUUUUUGUCAUUUUUAUUUGAGUAAUACAUAUAUAUCACCAUAUCCCUUGAUAUUACUUAAGGUGUACAAUAUAUAUAGCUCCUUUAGUUAUUUUGGCCUCCUUGGAGUAGUGCUUCAUGUUGAUAUUCUCUGGAUCCAAGAUAACAAUAAAGAACCUUCACAUGAGUACCGGCUUCACAUAAAGCGAUGUUAACAUGUCUUUGAUUGUAUGGGAGACAGUGUACUUAUCAGCUUCCUUGUACAUGUAGUCUACAGUUCGUGCAAACUCUAGUACCGUUCGUGGGACAAUUAUCGGGUAUUCUUUUAGUGCAAGGCCUUGUUCAAUCAUGAACUUCCAUGAAUCUUCUGUAAGUUCUUUUAUCUGCUCACAUGCUUCAUCCAUUGUUAGUUCAUGCUGCUUCAUGUAACACUGAACAGUGGAGACACAAUGCUUCUCUCUUUGUUCACGCUGCAAUUAAAUGUGCAAAAUUAGUGAUUUUUUUAUUAAUAAUAUAGUUUGUUUGAAAUCCCAAACACUAUGAAUCUUAACAAAAAAUUAUGUUUAGGGUCAUGCUAUCUUCAUUGUUAUUCACUAGAAUUGUUGAACAAAAUCAUGGUUUUAGACAUUGCUGAGUAAAACAAGGUAUAGUGUGUCCAUGAAAUAAGAGUAGUCAAAGGAUAGAGAAAAACCUUGGUUGAUACAAUAUCAUUGGAGAGCCGUACAAAUAUACCAAAAGACUUAACAAGUUCAGCAUCACUCAUAACCCAUUCCAUGAUCUUCUUUGUUACUACAUCACCCAUUCCAACAAACGCGGAACAUAGCACCAGUGUACCUCCAAUGCUUAUGAGUGAAACUUUUAGGUGUUCUUUCAAUGUUUUGGGGACAUAAUCCUCAUCACGCCAUUUUAUUUCCUUGGUAUAUUCCCGAACUAAUUCCUUCA